rnacentral:lncRNA from 1 species
AAAAUCCCUAGCGCAGCCUCAAUUCCCCUUGGGCCUGGCAACACCUCUCCUUCCCACAUCUCCUCCUCCUGCCUCAUCACUCAUCUCCAUCCACCGAUCCACGACCCAUCCAUCCAUCAGCGCCACCAGCUCCAGCACCACACCACUGAACGCCCCCGCGCUGUUGCUCUUUCUUUCUUCCUUCCCAGCUGCUUUCUGCUGCUCCUUCUUCACCUACCUCGCUACUGCUCCUCCACCUCUCUUCUUCUCCCAAGAUCUGCUCAUGCUGCUUUCUCUAAUCUCCCACGCCUUUGUUGUUCUUCUUGCCCAAACCUUGUUGCUGCUCCUUCUCUGAACAUACUGCUGCUACUACGCUCAGCUGCUUCUUCUCUGACCCUACUGCUGCUCCUCUCCAGCGGCCCCUUGCUGCUCUUCUCCAGCGCUCCCUUGCUGCUCCUCAUUCGCUGAAGCUGUGCUCUGAAACCCUCCUGAUGAUGCUAUCUCUCUGAUUUCUGUAAACUUGAGAUGUGUAUGUCGUGUGUAAUGUUCAGAUUUGAUUAGUGGAAGCAACUUGUUAUUUGCUCAGUUUGGUACUAGUAUAAUAUAGUACUUGUUGUGUUGGAUCCGAUUAGUUGAGGCCUUGUUAAUUUGAGAGAUUAUUGAUCUAUUAGAAUUUACUUCUGUGAAUUAGUAUUCUACUAGCAAAUGAAUGUGUUCACCCCUGUGUGUUUGUUCCGUACUGAAAUUUAUUCCGUUGUCCAUGUGUUAGCUCCAGUACAUGUGCUAUAUAAAUAUACGUGUGUUUGUGAUGUAAACCAUUUAUGUUGUGUCUUAUAAUCUUGUUUCUUCCUUCUAUUACAUGUUAGAUAGUCAUUUGUGUUCACUUCCGUUUUGUCGAUAAUGUUCGUGUUAGUAUUUUAAUUUCUCAAGCCUAAUAAAAAUACCAAAAAGAUAGUGAGUAUAUUCUGAAUCAUCCUGUGUUGUUUGCAUUUUCUUUUUCGACGAUCUUCGGGAACAACCUUAUCUAACCCGUAAAAUCAUCUAUUAAAAUUGUGUUACCUAGAUUUAGCGGAGCAUAGUCGCCGUCACCUAGUCCCUAUGGAGAACACAACAUCUGCAGAUUUGGGCGAAAUACCCUACUGUACUUUCAAUCGAUCACCCUACCUGAUGAAGACGACACCGGCAACCACCCGGUGAGGGAGGUCCUUCCCCCUACUGGGGUCACCACAAGGUCCAAGGUCACCCCCUCGAAGAAGUCGCCGACGGUGGUUCUGACGAAGAGCAGGUCGGUGCUGGUCUCCCAGGGUGACGCUCCUACCCUGGCGCCAUCUGGUGCUGCCGUGGGGCCGGCUACUGCCUCUUCAUCUGCUCCAGGGGCCCGUGCACCAGUGCCCCAGACUCUGAGGCCCUUGGGUUCCGUGCUCCUGAAGAGUGCACGAGACUACUACGUCAUGGACCAGUAAGUAUUUCGCCCUGACUUGGUUCUUGCUCCUACUUCUGUUACUGCUCCUGAUGUUCCCCUCUUGCUUUAUCAGGCCGACACUGUCGGUGAAGAAGAACAGAGAGGGGGCGGCCACAUCCUCGCGAGCCUAGCAGCCUGGAUGCACCCCCUCCGGCGUAGAAAGGCGGCGAAGGCAGCCACACUUCUCCCGCUCGAUCGUCCUCACGAGGCCCAAUGGACCAUUCUCAGGAGAAGGCGAUCUCCUCAGCCAAGACGGCUCCGGAGGCGCCUAUAUCUAGCUCGCCUGUUGACGCGGCCAAGGAUCAGGAGCCCCCAGCUCCACUUCCUGUCAUCCCCAGCUCGCAGGUCUUGGAGAUGGCGCAGCCUCCUCCCUUGGUCGAAUCCCUGUCCCGCGAUCCUUUCGCACCGCCUAACGCCUUGGAGCAGGCCCUUUCCGCACUGGCACGACUUCGGGCUGACCUCCAAGGCACUAACUGCCGACUGGUGGCGGGGCGCCUGGAACUGAUCUCUAGUUGGUUGCACUCCGACGCGUCUGUCAGGGCGGCGCUGAGCCAGACCGUGGCAGCUGCCGAGGAGGACAAGCGGCCUGCUGAACAAGUCGUGGCCGCCCGUGAGGUGGCGCUGAAGGACGCAGAGGCUGCCAAGAAGCGCUGCCGGUCGAUGGAGGCCGAGUUGCAGACCAUGCGCAACAAGCACGCGGCCGAGGCUAGCGGUCGCAGGGUGGAGGAGGAAAAUAUGAAGGCCGGAGAAGACGCCGUCGCCAGUCGUGACGCCGAGCUAGAGCAAUCGGCGAGGGCGCAGGCCGUGGAACGCAGCCGCCUGGAGGAGCUGCAGAAGACGAUGGCGGCAGAGAAGGCCCAGCUAGAGUCCAAGGCGAAGGUUCUGGCUGAGGAUAGUGCGGCCUUCAAGUCCCUUGAGGAGAGAUCCCGCGAGGCGUUGAAAGCACUCUAUGAGAAGGGCUUGGAGAAGCCACUGGCGACGGAUGACAAAGGCCGCGCUCAGCUGCUUCCUUAUCUUGUCAUGGCGCUCGAGGGUGUCGUCGCCGGGAUCGUCCCCAUGGUGGAGGGGGAAGCCCGCGCUCUUUCUUCUUAGGCUCUGACGCAUGCCUUCAACAACCUGCAUCUUCGUGACGCCAACGCCGACCUUAGCGAGGUGCUCAAGCCCGUGGAGGAGGAAUGCUGCGCAGCUGCUGCCGCAGCUGUGGAGGGCCAGGUGGAGGCCCUAUUGAAGAAGUUCCUCGCCAUCGAGCCUGCGCCUCCAACCGAUGGCCCUGCCGACCCUACGACUGAGGCCGACGACAUGGCCGACGGUGACGCUGCCGGCGGGAAGGCGCUCCCUGACGACGGUGCCCAAGGCUGAAGAAAAGGCUUGCUGGUGAAGAACGGCGCUCCUGCUUGUUUAACUUUCCUAUGAGAUUUCCUGUGACAUGAGGCAUGCCUCAUUGAGGUGUUUAAACUCUGACGUUUGGGGAUAAUUUGUUGUCUAAUAAUUUAUUUAGGUUCCGCAAUUUCCUUCCCGUUUGCUUGAGGUUCUACGUUGGCAGGGCCCGACCCCGCGCAUACUUUAGCCGCCAUUGGGCCGUCCGGAUCACCAGGACAGACCAAGGGGUGAGGGGCUAUGUGGCUAGUUAGGCUCCUGAGUCACGAUGCUUAGGAGUCCCCCUUGACGUGCAAACAGCCUUCGGGAAGGAGCCGCUGAGGUAGGCCUUGGUGUUCUAUGUCGGCAGGGCCCGACCCCGUGCAUACCUCAGCCGCCAUUGGGCCAUCCGGAUCACCAGGACGGACCAAGGAGUGAGGGGCUAGGUGGCCAGUUAGGCUCCUGAGUUGCGUUGCUGAGGAGUCCCCCUUCACGCUCAAACGACCUUCAUACCUAUUGAGGGAGUCCUGGAUUAGGGGGUCUCCGGACAGACGGACUAUAUCCAUUGACCGGACAGUUAGACUAUGAAGAUAAAAGAUUGAAGACUUCGUCUCGUGUCCGGAUGGGACUCUACUUGGCAUGGAAGGCAAGCUAGGCAAUAUGGAUGUGUAGAUCUCCUCCUUUGUAACCGACCUUGUGUAACCCUAGCCCCUUCGGUGUCUAUAUAAACCGGAGGGUUUUAGUCUGUAGGACAACAUACAAUCAUACCAUAGGCUAGCUUCUAGGGUUUAGCCUCUCUGAUCUCGUGGUAGAUCUACUCUUGUACUACCCAUAUCAUCAAUAUUAAUCAAGCCGGACGUAGGGUUUUACCUCCGUCAAGAGGGCCCGAACCUGGGUAAAACAUUGUGUCCCCUGCCUCCUGUUACCAUCCGCCUUAGACGCAUAGUUCGGGGCCCCUACCCGAGAUCCACCGGUUUUGACACCGACAUUGGUGCUUUCAUUGAGAGUCCGUCUGUGCCAUCGCCAAAAGGAAGGAUGUCUCGUCUCAUCUUUAAAGAUGGUACUACUGUUGGGGGAGCUUUGGCUGUCGGCCAAACUCUCCGGCUAGGCGGGUUCAUCAUGACCGCCUGUCCGGCCGCCGCCCCGAUGAUGAAUUCUCGGGUCAUCAAAAACAGCCUCCACGUCAAAUCGGCACUCGCCGAACAGAUGGAUCCAAUGGAGCUCUCCUCCUUAAACGAGCUCUUGGAUCGCAGCGCCGCCUUGGGAGUCGCUACGGACUAUGAUCGGAUUGGGCUUAAACCCGAUCAAAGGGAGAUUAACACUCCACCGGUCACCCAUCAUAUUGCAGUGGUGGAGGAAUAAUGCGGCGACCUUUCCUUUAUUCUGAAGACCAACUAUGUCCGGAUUCCCGAGCUCUCCGAGCUGGACGCCCGUUCGCGGGAGGACAACAUCCAAUCCCUGAACAUAGAAUCAGAUAGCGGACCAGGAUUAGCGGGUAACACCCUAGAACCGGAACUUCCAAAAUUGGAAACUCCUCGGCCCCUGGAUCCCAGAUCGGGUAGGGGUUCGGAUUCAAUUCCACCCACCCACCCAAACACAAGCGAUCUUUCCCACAUCAGGCAAGAGCCCCAGGAAAGAGUAUAUCAUUACUGGGCCAGAUUCCUCCUUGCGAUGAACAAGGUUAAGGACUAUCGCGAGGAAGACGCAAUCUUAUUUUUCUGCAAUAAUUGCACAGACAAAGGGAUCCUUAACGCCAUAAAUCUCCGUGAGAUAACACGCUUCGCUGACUUCGCGUCCAUAGUACGAAAGUACUAUGCAAUGGAAAGUGCCUGGAAAACCGAAACAAACUUUUGGGAUAAUCCGGCCCUGAACACAAACCCAAUCCGAAAUAAAAGGGUCCAUCAUCACAAUACACCUGGAUUAACUACCAAAAAGCAAAAACCCUCUACAGGGCAAGGAACCAUACUAGAGGGAUGGCUAAACAGACCCUGCAAAAUUCAUAGCACGACAGAUAUAAUACCAACGCACAGCCUUAGAGCAUGUUGGAUACUCCGGUAGGUGGCCAAAAGUGGUGAGGAUCUUCUUAUCCCACAUACCACAGAGCACCAUCCAGUGGAUAACACUAUGGUGUUAAUAGUGUUCGAGACCUUUGCGUCAAAUAAUAGGCGCAAGCGAACACUCCGCAGCAUGGCCGAAAUCUGCCACGUAGCAGCAACAAAUCCAUGGAGUGACACGGCUAUUACCUUCAAUGCCAGUGAUGAACCCAAAUUCCGAACAGCCCGAGCACCAGCCGCACUGGUCCUCAGUCCAAUCGUGGACGGCUUUCGACUCACCAAAGUACUCAUGGACGGCGGCAGCGGACUAAACCUCAUCUAUGAGGAAACUCUUCAAAAGCUGGAAAUAGACUGGAACCGCAUCGAGCAAAGUAGCACAACCUUUAGAGGAAUUAUCCCCAGUCGUGAAGCACGCUAUGCUGGGAAAAUCACACUAGAUGUAGUAUUCGGCACGCCGGACAAUUACAGGUCCGAAGAAAUUACAUUCCAUGUGGCCCCGUUCAGCAGUGGCUAUCACGCUCUUUUAGGACGGGAGGCGUUCACAAUCUUCCAAGCCAUACCCCAUUAUGGGUACAUGAAGCUUAAAAUGCCCGGGCCUAACGGAAUCAUCACUCUCACCAGUGAUCCGGACACAGCACUCCGCGCCGAAAACAAAACUGCGGCAUUGGCCCUUGAGGCAUUAUCCGAAGCCCUCGCGGCCGAGGAGUUAACCAUGCUACGCUCCACAGUGGACAGGGACGAUGUGAUACUCGACAAGAGAUCCAAGUCCACCUCUUUUACACCAGCGGAUGAAAUAGUCAAAUUCCAUGUCCACCCAACAGACCCUACCAAAACAGCCUCCAUCGGGGCACAUUUAAACCCCGCCGUGGACGCCGCACUACGAGAGUUCCUGUGCGAGAAUUGGGACAUAUUCGCCUGGCAUCCCUCAGACAUGCUAGGAAUCCCACGCAGGCUGGCCGAGCAUAGCCUCAAUAUCAUAAAGGGUUUCAAGCUGGUCAAGCAAUCUCUUCGGCGUUUCUCCGAACCUAAGAGACAGGCCAUGGGAGAAGAACUAGCCAAGUUAUUGGAGGCCGAAUUCAUCAGAGAAAUAAAACAUCCGGACUGGCUAGCAAACCUGGUGAUGGUAUCAAAGAAGGACAAAUCCUGGCGCCUUUGCGUCAAUUUCAAAGAGCUCAAUAAAGCUUGCCCAAACGAUCCCUUCCCCCUCCCAUGGAUCGAUCAAAUCAUUGAAGCUACCGCAGGACACGAGUCAUUGUGUUUCCUCGACGCAUACUCCGGUUACCACCAAAUCAAGAUGGCGGAGUCCGGCCAAGCCGCAACGGCAUUCAUCACACCAUACGGUCCCUUCUGUUUCAACACAAUGCCUUUUGGGCUCAAAAACGCCGGCACAACAUAUCAGCGCAUGAUUCAGACAUGGCUGGGGAAACAAAUUGGCAAAACAAUAGAGGCGUACGUAGACGAUGUGGUCGUCAAAACCAAACACAUUGACUCUUUGAUAGACGACUUGAGGCUCACAUUCGACAACCUCUCAACAUAUGACAUCAAGCUCAAUCCGGAAAAAUGCGUUUUCGGCUUACCAGCCGGAAAGCUCCUGGGAUUCAUUGUCUCAAGUAGAGGUAUAGAAGCUAAUCCGGCCAAAAUACGAGUGUUGUCACAGUUGGCUACCCCAACAGACCUCAAACAAAUCCAGAAGUUAACUGGAUGCGUGGCAGCUCUAAGCCGCUUUAUCUCCCGCCUAGGAGAAAAGGCUUUACCCCUUUAUCACCUCCUUCGGCGCACCGAACAAUUCGAGUGGACAGACGCGGCCACUGCCGGAUUGGAAGAAAUAAAGGCCAUUCUGGCAACCAACCCGAUCCUGGCCGCACCAAACAUCGGCGAACCAAUGUUGUUGUACAUUGCGGUAACUCAUCAAGUUGUAAGCGUGGUGCUUGUUGUCGAACGGGAAGCGGACGGACACAAAUUCCCUCUUGAAAAUCCAAUAUACUAUGUAUCCACUGUCCUCACUCCAUGCAAAUCAUGGUACCCGCAUUACCAAAAGAUAGAAUAUGCGGUAUUCAUGGCAUCGCGGAAACUGCGACACUACUUUCAAGAGUGUUCGAUUAUAGUAGCCUCGGAAGUGCCACUUAAUGAUAUUAUCAACAAUCGCGACACUACGGGCCGGAUUGCCAAAUGGGCCAUUGAGCUCCUCCCAUUCGACAUAACAUACAAACCUCGCCGAGCCAUUAAAUCGCAAGUACUGGCCGACUUCGUCGCCGAAUGGACGGAGGCCGAACUCCCUAAAGAGUAUGGUGCAUACUCCAAUUGGAUCAUGCACUUCGACGGUUCUAAAAUGCUGGCCGGUCUAGGGGCUGGCGUCGUCCUGACGUCCCCAACCAGAGAUACCGUUCGGUACAUACUGCAAAUAUUGUAUACAGACUCCAAGAAUGCAGCCGAAUAUGAAGCUUUGUUGCAUGGUCUUCGGAUGGCAGUCUCCAUGGGCAUUCAACGCCUGGAGGUGCGUGGGGAUUCAAACCUCGCAAUAUCCCAAAUAAACGGAGAUUUUGACACCAAGGAUCCGAAAAUGGCGGCUUAUCGAAACACCAUCCUUAAAAUGUCAGCUCGGUUCGAGGGACUCGAAUUCCACCAUGUGGCUUGGGAAAACAAUCAGGUGGCGGAUAUCCUCGCCUGCAUCAGCGGAAAACGCGACGCGUUCCCCCCAACAUAUUUUUGGAAAGGCUCUUCAAGCCAUCCGUAGUAUGGGAGGGGGACACCGGUAACAACAGUCCGGACCCGGCCAAAAUACCCAAUACCAAACUCUCUGACACAAUCGGAGGCUCCGCCACCGAAAUAACACCUUCAGCCCACGAAAUAAUGGCUAUUAUUUCCCCGUGGACAGAACCAUUCCUGGCCUACCUAAUUAGACAGGAACUUCCAGAGGACAAAAAUGAGGCACGCUGCAUAGUGCGGCGAUCCAAGGCCUACAGGGUCCAUGAGGGAGAAUUGUACAAGAAAAGCACUACCGGAGUCCUUCAAAGUGCAUCUCCGAAGACGAAGGGCGGAAUCUUUUGGCAGAAAUUCACGCCGGACUCGGCGGCCAUCACGCCGUAGCCCGGGCUCUUGUAAGCAAGGCCUUCCGUACAUGAUUCUAUUGGCCAACGGCCCGGGCAGAUGCACAAGACUUAGUCCAACGUUGCGCCGGUUGCCAGCUCUUUGCAAAUCAAAGCCACAUGCCACCCACCGCCCUCCAAACAAUCCCCAUUACAUGGCCCUUUGCGUUCUGGGGGCUUGACAUGGUUGGACCCCUUAAAGGGGGAACCCACAAGAAAAAAAUACUUUUUAUUCAUGGUGGACAAAUUCACCAAAUGGAUAGAGGCCAAACCGGUUAAAACAGCCGAAUCCGGACUGGUGAUAGAUUUCAUAUCCGGGGUUGUACACCAUUAUGGCAUCCCCCACAACAUCAUCACUAAUAAUGGCACGAACACCACAACGGACGAGGUAAAACUCUGGUGCAGCAAAAUGGGCAUCAAGCUCAAUUAUGCCUCAAUCUAUCACCCACAAACCAACGGUCAAGUCGCGCGAGCAAACGGUCUUAUAAUGAGCGGCAUUAAACCUAGAUUAUUGCGUUCCUUAAUGGAGACUAACACGCACUGGGUAGAGGAGCUCGACUCCGUACUCUGGGGGUUGCGGACCACGCCGAAUCAUAGUACUGAAUAUACACCCUUCUUUAUGGUGUACAACGCAAAGGCAGUCUUGCCCUAUGACAUAAUUCAUGACUCACCCAGAGUGCGCAUGUACGAAGAAAGAGAAGCCGAGCUCGGUCGGCAGGACAGUCUGGACACCUUGGAGGAGGAGCGCGACGUAGCCAAAGCCCGUUCCACAUUUUAUCAGCAACAGGCUCGCAGAUACCAAAGCAGAGAAGUACGGGCCAAAACUUAUAACAUUGGCGAACUAGUUGUAUGCCUGCCGGACAAGAAAAAGAACAAGCUCGAGCCCAAAUGGGAAGGUCCCUUCAUUAUUGACCAAGUUCUGACCGGUGGAGCGUACCGACUGCGGGAUGCAUCGACUAGUCGACUCGAGCCGAACCCAUGGAACGCGGCCAGGCUCCAAAGAUUCUACGCCUAGCACCGGACUCCAUGUUAGUCCCCUCCCUUUGUCCAUUUUUCACAAAUGCAUUAUUUGUCUUGUUUUCCUUUCUUUCUUUCUUAUUUCUCUAGGCCUCCAAGGGUCACCUUGUGCCUUGUUUGCACACUACAUAUGCACUAGCCGCACUCUUCAUACCCGGGGGCUUCUUUCACAGAAGCUUAAAUUAUUUAUCCGGGCUUCAUGCCCAGCACAUGUGUCAUACUUCCGCAUGUACCUUUUUUCACCAUUAUAUGCAUCGAUAUGACUUAAGUUUUGGCCAAGCUGGGUUGCCUGGCUCUCGUAUUUAUGCCCUACAUUCCCGUUAAUUCGGCUAGGGCAUAAGGGGAGCACCUCUGCGAUUGUUACUGCCAGGUCAGACGGAUGUGUACCUCAGACUGGGUGAAGCCGAAAGCUAGCGUUCUUACGGGAAUAUUCGGUCGGUGAACAAAAGAUGAUUUUUAUUUUUCAUAUCUGCCCCCAGAUGUUUUUCCUGCGUUUCCUAUCGUAGUCCGGACAUGCACUUUAGGGCAUGCUUGCCCAGGGAAAGGAACCCUUAACGGAACUAUUCUCCCUGGAAGAUGUUUCUUACUACCCAUUUAAUAUAACAUAACUAGUUGGGCACUUGUCUGAUAAAGCACUAAUGACCCCUACGCCUAGUCUCCAUGCAUACCCCGGUUCUUAUACAACUGAGUGGGUAUUCGGAUACACUCCGGACUAUUGGGUGCGGAGGCUGAAGCGAAAAGUACCACAACGACAAAUGAUCUACAAUCCAGCUAGAAGGCAUUAUACAUGUCACUUCAAUUACUUAGUCAUGCAGACUGACCAAAUUCUUCUUCUAUACCAUCCAACAGGCGGUCUAGCUUACAAUCCUAUUGGGAAUACUUUGCGGCUAAUUCUACUUGCCCAUAAACUAAGCUAACAGGAAUUUCUUUUCCGUCGGGCCCCACAGGUCUGACCUCGGCCAUGUGAUUUGGGUCUGCUUUGGUAUAUCGCGUCUUCACCAUGGCCUAGGCUUCUUUGGCACCUUGUCGGCAGGCGGAUAUCUUCCAUAAUCGGAAGCGCCCCGCUCCUUUGAGCUUCUCCGCAAGCUCCACAACACCCUCUGCCAUGGAGACGGACGGCCACAAAGCCCGAGCAACGCCCUGCAUCACCCGCCGAACUUGUUCGUGCAGAUUUGAUAGCUCGAACAGAAGAUCACCCGCAGACCCGGGCAUUUCCUCCGCGGGACGACCCAUCAGCAUACCUACAGACAUAACGUUGUUAGUCGGCUUCUUUGCCGAAUACCUUUAAAGGAUUCGUUCAAGCACUUACUAAAAAUGCCGCGUCGAAGCCUCUUAUUCUCCUGCUCGGAGUCCACAAGCUGGCCCCGAACGUCUUUUAGUUCCACGUUCAGCCUUAUAUUGGCGUCUUGGAGAUUUUUUUUCUCCCGCCUAACCUCAGUCAGCACGCGUUUGCCAGCUUCUAGCUGCCCAUAACAUGCGUGUCCCCCGGAUUUUCUCCGGAUUCAUCUACAAAAUCUAUUGUUAGAUCUGCAGCCACGCCGCGCACUAUAUGGUAACCAUCAUUCUUUAAAAUGUUACCAGCAGGAGGCUUUUUCUGUUCCUGCAAUGCGGCAAUAGCGGCCCGCAGUUGGGUCUUGCAUUCCUCUAGCUCCUGGGACAGCCUAGUAUUCUUCUCUGUAAGAACCUGCACAAGAAGGAUGAUCCUUAAAUUAGUUCUGCUAACUGUUUCAAGUCUCAGGGGCUACUGAUACAUAUAAAUCGUCAGAUUCACUCACCCGUACAUCCUUUACAUACUGAUCCGUAGCUCUGGCUAGACCAUCUUGAGCGGCACGGAGGUACGCUUCUCCAGAUUUAAAGGCGUUAAACGCCUCUGGUGAGAAACAAGCGUCACGGAGUACGGCCCGGCGGCGCCUAUGAUUCAUGGCGCUUUCCACUUCUGAGUUUGUAGCAGAUAACCUAUCCGCAUCCUCUGUAUUGGGAUUAUCCGGCGCCUGCCCCAUAUCGGCUUCUGCCUCCAUGUCCGGUCCUGGUGCCCGACUGGUGGAAGCGUGACUGGCGACAUCGCCGGACAUAUUCCGGCGAGCAUUUUUUCUGUUAAAGAAACACGGGCGUCAUUAUAUUUUGAGAAAGACGACAACCACGGAGCGGGGUUUGUUGUACCUUUGCCCCGGCGUCUCCGUCCUAACUGCCUUCCUUUUUGGCCUACCUGGCCUCGGCGCCUCUUGUUGGCACGUUGCUGCAGGGCGUCCCGAAUUCCUUCCCUAUAAAAAGGCCAUGUGAAUAUGGUGGGUGAAGUGUCUAAAAGGGGAUCCUACCUUUUUGAGUUGGGACUUUUCGGUUUUUCUUACGUGCGAUGCAGGGAGCAGUCUGGGAUAGUCGGCCGUAAUGGCCACCAUGGCAUCGUCGCAGCUUAACUGAUAGAACUGCCGGUUUAUCAGCUCCACGGAGAUAACCGGAUCUUCUUCGAGUCCGUAGUGGAGGGCCCGGUCAGGGUCCUCCGGUUGUGGAGAAGGGCUGCAGACCUCCCUUGUGGCCUUUCGCAGUUCCUGCCGUAAAUUGGCAAGGUGAAUACUUACAACGAAAAACGUGGGAAGAUGGAAGUGAGGGAAUAUAGCUUACCCAGCUUGGAGGAUUGUACAUGGAGAAUAUGUCUCGUGGCUUGAUGUGGGUGAACUCCUCCUCCUCUCCCUUGAAUAGUUCAGACAACAUUUUGGCUAAUGCGGCAGCAUCGCCCGGACCCUUACGACCGUAGAGGGUGGCAUCAUCCUCCCCGUUGAAACACCAUAAGGGAUGCCCACGAUAUUGAAGUGGCUGCACUCCCCGCAUUAUGCAAAUUGACAUAACUUUGGUUAUUGUCAAUCCUGAAUGAGCUAGUGCCUUAAUCCGGUUCAUCAGAUAGAGGACUUGUCUGUCGUCUUCCACCAGGGGGCUCUGUGGGCGCCAACUUCGGUGCUUCUUCAGAGGAGCAUUGUUGAACUCAGGAAGACCCCGCCGAACAGGGUCCGGAAGGGGAACGUCCUCCAUAUAAAACCAUUCUGAAGGCCAGUCUUCGGAUGGCUUCUUCAUGGUGCCGUACAGAUAUGCGGUAUCGACGAUGCGCCAUACUUCGGCUCCGCCCACUUGAUAAAGUGAUUCCCUCUGUGUGCGAGGGACAAGGCAAAAUAGCCUUUUCCAUAGCUCGAAGUGAGCCUCGCAGCCCAGGAACAACUCGCAGAGAGCAACAUAGCCUGCGAUGUGCAGGAUGGAGGCAGGGGUGAGAUUGUGUAGUUGGAGGCCGUAGAACUCCAGGAGCCCGCGGAGGAAUGGAUGAAUUGGAAAUCCGAGUCCCCUUAGUAAGUAAGGAACAAGGCAAACCCGUUCCCCCAUGGAGGGACAGGGAAAGUUCUCCGCUUGCUCCCUGCUGUCGGUGUCAAAACCGGCGGAUAUCGGGUAGGGGGUCCCAAACUGUGCGUCUAGGCCGGAUGGUAACAGGAGACAGGGGACACUUUGUUUUACCCAGGUUCGGGCCCUCUCGAUGGAGGUAAUACCCUACUCCUGCUUGAUUAAUAUUGAUGAUAUGGGUAGUACAAGAGUAGAUCUACCACGAGAUCAAGGAGGCUAAACCCUAGAAGCUAGCCUACGGUAUGAUUGUUGUGUAUGGAGUUGAUUCUGUCCUACGGACUACAACCCUCCGGUUUAUAUAGACACCAGAUAGGGUUAGGGUUACACAGAGUCAGUUACAAUGGUAGGAGAUCUUGAAUAUCCGCAUCGCCAAGCUUGCCUUCCACACCAAGGAAAGUCCCAUCCGGACACGGGACGAAGUCUUCAAUCUUGUAUCUUCAUAGUCCGGGAGUCCGGCUGAAGGUACAGUCCGGCUACCCGAACACCCCCUAAUCCAGGACUCCCUCAGUAGCCCCUGAACCAGGCUUCAAUGACGACGAGUCCGGCGCGCAAAUUGUCUUCGGCAUUGCAAGGCGGGUUCCUCCUCCAAGUCCUUCAUAGAAGAUCGUAAUCACCAAGAGUAGUGUCCGGCUCUGCAAAAAUAAGUUUCCACAUAUUGCCAUAGAGAGAAUAAUAUUAACACAAAUCAAAUCUGCUGAUGUAUUCUGCAGUGCGCCAUCACACUACAGCCAAGUCCUUUACUCGAAUCGCUUUUACAUUCCCACCUCAGCAUCUUUCGCGAGGCGGUUUCCUUGGCAUAUCUUGUCAAAGCAGAGAUCGUGUACCCUUUUUACGGGAUUCUCAUCAAUACGGACGUGGGUAACCCAACCGCGCCAUUUAUCACGGCGCUCGGGAGGCAAGCGAGUUUUAUUAGGCAGGUGGGACGCAUAACCGCAUCCACCUAUAUAAGGGGAUAAGGAUCCACCUUUUUACCUACGCCUUCUUCCUCCCUUGCCUAUCCAUUUUCCGCGCACUCGAGCUCCAGCGCCCAAGUCCGCACUUCCCAGCUCUAACAUCGGAAUGUAUCCGAGCUCCAACGCCGGACUAUGUAUCCGAGCUCCAAUGCCGGACUGUAUCCAAGGUGUCGUAAAUCACCUUGGUUUAAAGAAGUUUUGAAGGAGUUUAGCCAAGCUUAAUGCCGGAAAUGCCCUCUAUGGAGCCAGCCACUAGCGCCCGAGCUUUACGCCGGGCUGCUUCCGAGGUGGUGCACCACCCCGACUAUGGGCCGAUUUUUUGUCAAUAUUUUUUAUUGGUGCAAUUUAUUCUCUGUCGAGAUAUAUAGCCAGUAGCCCUCAAGGUGUGUAUCGGUCUAAAACCCGAGAUGCACAUGAAGGAUGACAUAAGACCGCUGAUCCCAGUAGCCGCUGAGACUCGGGUUGAUUUGCAAAAUCGGCCUGAGGAUCAAGUCCUAGCUUGGCAGAAUACUUCGGGACACAAAAGCAGCGUGCUCAGUCCUCAAGACUCAGGUUGGGUGCGACCGACCAACCUGAGGAUCAAAAUCUCCUCGGAAACUAUAUUGCACAUAAAAUUUUCUGCAUUGGACAAGCAAUGCGGUAGGCCCCGAGACACUGGUCGGGUGCCAACACCAGAUCAGGGGAUCGAUGUGCCCCUUUAAUAUUUGUAAAUAGUAAGCCCAAAGCCCAGUAGCCCCCGAGCCUUAAUGCGGGCACGGGUGGCCGAAUUAAGGAUGAAUAUCCAUAGUAAAAUCACAAAUUAUGUGUAAUGACUCUAUGUAUCCAAGUACUUUACGUCAUUAAUGCUCAGAUCCACAUUGUACAAAACUUUGUUGACCGACCAUCGGCUUCCACCUCCUCGGCCAGUAGCCGAGGAGUGUUUGUCCUACUUUAUAAAGCCUUUAUGAGGGCAAAGAUUUACAACAAACAAGGCAAUCUGGCCAUACGGUUUUAUAAACAAAGGUUCGCCGAGAGAUAUGUUAUAUUACUGUUUAUCAGUAGUAAGGUCUUCCAAAGAAAAUAGUCCCGCUAUCGGUUCCUUUCUUUGGGUUGUCGUGCUAAGCAUGAUCAUUAAACCUCAGCUCUAAUGUAAGAGCAAAAUAUCGAGGAUUUAGUUUGGGAGGCCAGUUAAUAGCCCCCGGUAGUGUUCGGAGACAUUCGAGGUCAAGCCGUAAACACUUCGGCCAAUGUUAUGAAUGGCCUGUUAUUUAACAUAGUCAUCAGAUCGCUGACCAGUUUACGCUUAUUGUGACAGUCAGUUUUCGGCUUUCUCCACUGAGGUGCUUAACCAUGUGAGCUGGAAGCACAAUCGCAGUGGUUCUCCCUUUGCACGCCUAGCCGAACAAAACGAAACGUAGGAAGCAAGUGCAGGAGCCGGGCAACCCAACUAUUAACCGAAGACACAAUUCGAAACUGAUGCAUAUAUAGCAAUAUCUGAGAAUGUUUUUGCUGAAUCCCUAAAGGUGUCCGGCGUUGCACUGCGAGACUAAUGCUGGAAAAGCACAAAUAGUUUAAAAGUGCUAAAAAGCUUGGAAAACCAAGAAACGUCAGUAAAAACAUGACGUCCGAACAAUAUCAAGUGUUCGGUGCCAAUCUGAAAAUUGGUCUUAGAAAAAAAAGAGUGCUUCUGUCGUGCUUUAACAUUACACAUCCGAUCUCAAGACUUCAAGCGGGUCAGCCUACGGCUGGCUAUUGACCACACACUCACGUCGAAAAAGGAGCGAUAGGAAAAGAUUUUGCAACGACCAAGAAGAAAACACAUUUACUAUAAAAUAGCUCGUAGAAAUUUUAAGAGCCCCCAAGUGACUUGGGUAGAAGAAUGAUUGCAUGUACUGAAGUACUUAUAUCAUAUCUAUGUUCAACCGAACUUUAAACGCGUCUUAACUGACUGUCAGCUUCUCCCUCUUCGGUCAAGGACCGAAAAGUGUUAUGUACUCCAUCGGUCGAGAAUAUCGACGGUGUUUCCAAUAACCAGGCAAUCAGGCCAUAAGGCUGUAACAGACAAAGCGCGCUCAGGGAACUUAUGCUAUAUUACUGUGAAGAGUAAGAAGCAUCUUCGAAGAAAAUAGUGCCCCCACCGAUACCUUUCUUCGGUGCUCAUUGUUAUUAUGAGACUUGUGCAAUAGAUUUUUUAUACUCAUGAGUUCCGUUGUGUGCCGACCAUCAUUGAAUAACUAUAAGAGCGCUAGCUUUCGGCUUCACCCAGUCUGAGGUCCGGCUCGGGCGACCCGAUCGUGACAAUCGCAGAGGUGCUCCCUUUACUCCCUAGCCGAACAAUCGGGAACGUAGGGGUAAACACAGGAGCGAGGCAACCCAACUUGCAAAUCGCUUAAGUCAAUAUGGUGCAUAUUGUGGCGUAAUACACGAACAAGGAACGAAGCCAUACAAGUAUAAUCAUAUGCAACAGGAAAAGCUUCAUAAAGGAAGCGCCCAAGUAAACGGGGUAUUUGGAUUUAUGCAUCACAAACAAAGUUUGGACAAGGAAAUUUUUGAGAAGCAACUUUUUUCCAAAAAAGUAUAAUGCUUGGUCGAACUGAACACAAGUUAGAAAUUAAAGCUUUGAGCAUGAAAGCGACUUAGCUGGUUAAUGUGUUCGGUAUUGAUGACGCGGUCCAAGCUUGAUGCGGGGCAAGGUUCCAUCCCUCAAGCCGGUCCCAAGGUGGCGGAGCGAAGAGCUCGGCACUCCGAAGUGGUGACAUAGUACAGUCAAUGCAGGCCGAAGAGUGAUGCCGAAGUCUUCGGCAUGGGGUAAUGAAGUGUUGAUGAAGCCCCCUGUCCAGCCGAGGUGACGCCAAAGGAUAUAGUCCGGCUGGAUCAUUUUCCUGUGCCACAUAAAAUAGUGCAAACCGGAGAUAAUAGUAAUAAUGAUAAUUAAAAAAUGUGUUGCAUGAUAAAUAAUUUAUGCAAAGUGAGGAAUAGAAGAAAUAUGGUCUAGCGCCGAAGUCAAUGUCGACGUAGGGCGUCGGUGUGAUGUAGUAAAGGCGUGGCAAAGCCUGAAUUCACAGGUCGGUCCGAGCUCCGGAUGCGGCGUUCGCCGGACUAUGUACGGAAACUGAUCGAACCACCACGCGACCGUUAAUGCGGUCACCAUUUGAUAGACAUGUGUACAUAUCAUGGACAAACCAGAGUAAUAAUUCCUUGGGAAAAAAUGAACCCAAACAAGCAAAAAAUAUUGAGGUUAAUAGCACCUGGUUUAUUUGUUGUAGCAUCCGAAGGAAGGUGAUUCCUAAAAUUGGGACUCGCUCCGCACACCCAUUGCCUGAUGGGCGAUAAAACGAUGGCAUGGCAAUGCUGGUAAAGGUUGACUCGCCGAGGCAAAGCCCUCGGCCCAGCUAAUGUGACGGAGUUGGUCGGCUAGUGAUGCCGAAGUGUCCGGAGUAGGUUGAUGAAGAGAUGGCGAAGCCCCCGGUCCAGCCGAGAUGUUGAAGCCUCGAUGUCAGCAGAUGAGUCAAAGUAGGUCGGCAUGAUGGACACCAGCUUGAAGAAGCAAUAGUGCGGCCCUGUCAAUGCAGGUCGUGACGUGGUUGAUGCCGGCAUGAUGAAGCGACCGUGCGGCGAUGCCGGUAUGCCCGCUCCGUGUAAUCCGUGGGGCGGCGAUGUUGAUGAUGAUUUAUCCUUCGCGAUGCCGGACUCUUGUUCGGCUUGCCGAGAUAAUGAUCCGAAGAAGUUGAGCUCGGCUAAAGUGACGACGUGUCUAGCGCAGGUCGGCAGCCGUGGAGUAAUAUUGCCGGACUGGUUUGACACCAGCAUGAUGUUGAAGAUCAUGUUAAAAAGAUCUUAAAGUUAGUGGGAUGUGUUUGGGAACAAAACACAAUACCCCAUACAAAAUUUCCUUCAAAAGGGAUGUACGAAAUCCCGUUCAUAAAAAAGAUGAACUCGGGUCGGAUUCGUUUUCGCGCAGAAAAUAGAUCCGAAAAGUGAUGCAGUAAUCGGAAGGUUCCUGGAGUUUGGUCGGUCGGAUCAAGCCGAAAUUUUGAGAGCUGGUAGAUAUAGGAAUUCCGCAGCCGAUCAACGGUUGGAUCUUACAAAGGACGUUCGAGCUAGAAGCUGGACAGCACGCCCUAAACUCAUCCAAAUUCCCGUCCAGAUUUGACAGGGCUCCGGUAUAUCGUGAAUUGCCAGAGAUUCCUCCAUCGGAACUCGACGAAAUUUUCUAGGGUUGUUGUAGACUCAAUUCCGCACAAUUCCACCAAAGCAAUCGUCAAAGUGAUACUCGAGGAGGUGGUGGUGGCAGAUACGAGUUCACUGUCUAGAAAAACAGCACGGUCGCUUGAGGGCAAUGUUGACGUUGAGUCUCCGAGCUCCAUAGAUGAUUCCUCUGUGAUCUUGAUAGAGAUCGGAGUUGAUGUUUGAUGAAGGCCCUCGUCCGGACAUGGUGAUCCGAACACGGGGCGCAAUUCUUGGUCGAACCAAGGUGACCAGUCGAGCUGGUGACGAAGAUGCCGAAGUCGCAGUUGAUCUGCAGGCGAGCCAUCGAUCCUUUUGUCGAUCACACAGCGGAACUCUCAAUGAAAGCACCAAUGUCGGUGUCAAAACCGGCGGAUCUCGGGUAGGCGGUCCCAAACUGUGCGUCUAGGCCGGAUGGUAACAGGAGACAGGGGACACUUUGUUUUACCCAGGUUCGGGCCCUCUCGAUGGAGGUAAUACCCUACUCCUGCUUGAUUAAUAUUGAUGAUAUGGGUAGUGCAAGAGUAGAUCUACCACGAGAUGAAGGAGGCUAAACCCUAGAAGCUAGCCUACAGUAUGAUUGUUGUGUAUGGAGUUGAUUCUGUCCUACGGACUACAACCCUCCGGUUUAUAUAGACACCGGAUAGGGUUAGGGUUACACAGAGUCGGUUACAAUGGUAGGAGGUCUUGAAUAUCCGCAUCGCCAAGCUUUCCUUCCACACCAAGGAAAGUCCCAUCCGGACACGGGACGAAGUCUCCAAUCUUGUAUCUUCAUAGUCCGGGAGUCCGGCUGAAGGUAUAGUCCGGCUACCCGAACACCCCCUAAUCCAGGACUCCCUCACCCGCCAUUGUAGGUGGCAAGCCCGGCUCGAACGAGCACCAUAUAUGCCAGAGGAAGAAAUCCUUCGGUCUACAGUUCGACCAAUCGACUAUGUGGAACUGAAUACAUCUCCCAAUCACCCAGCUUAGGGCUACGGGGGCGGGAGGAGGAGCUGCAGAGGUUGGCCAUGCUCGAAUGGAUCUUUCCGUAAUGCGCUCUGAUGGAUUCUCGCUGAGGGGAGGAUGGUGUGGAUCGGAUCUAAGAAUCCCAAUCCCUUUAAUAGACAAUUUAUUUAUCUGACUAGGGGGGUGAAUGUAAGAAUGCCCUGGCGCCUCGUAUUCGUUCGAGAAAUUGCCCUUAUUGGGCGCAGAAGCCAAGAGGAUCAACAUUUAUGGAGCCGGAUACUAUUUACAAACACUUGGAAAUUGGAGAAGAACCCGCCUUGCAAUGUCGAAGACAAUACUGCUCGCCGGACUCGUCGUCAUUGAAGCCUGGUUCGGGGGCUACUGAGGGAGUCCUGGAUUAGGGGGUCUCCGGACAGCCGGACUAUAUCCAUUGACCGGACUGUUAGACUAUGAAGAUACAAGAUUGAAGACUUCGUCUCAUGUCCGGAUGGGACUCUACUUGGCGUGGAAGGCAAGCUAGGCAAUACGGAUGUGUAGGUCUCCUCCUUUGUAACCGACCUUGUGUAACCCUUGCCCCUCCGGUGUCUAUAUAAACCAGAGGGUUUUAGUCUGUAGGACAACAUACAAUCAUACCUUAGGCUAGCUUCUAGGGUUUAGCCUCUCUGAUCUCGUGGUAGAUCUACUCUUGUACUACCCAUAUCAUCAAUAUUAAUCAAGCAGGACGUAGGGUUUUACCUCCAUCAAGAGGGCCCGAACCUGGGUAAAACAUUGUGUCCCCUGCCUCCUAUUACCAUCCGCCAUAGACGCACAGUUCGGGACCCCCUAGCCGAGAUCCGCCGGUUUUGACACCGACACCUGUCCUUGCCGAGAUCCCGCUCGGGAGUUGUGCGCGACGACUAGGUCCGGGGGAACUGGAAGAGCGGCAUACGCUAGGCAGGGCCUGAGCGUAGCCCCCGUGCCCAGCCCCCUCGUGCGACUCUCCCGAGGGGAAGGCGUUGCGGUGAGGCUGGACAUGGAGACGGGUGGCUCUCUAAGGUUGGUACAUGCAUGGGCCCGUCCUCAGUUGUUUAUCACCAGCGCGGAGCAUAGCGCUUCCGCACUUGCCCGGGCAUAGCCGCUCCUCGACCGUGUUGACUGCCAGCGUGGAGCAUGGUGCUUCCACUGGUGCGUGGGUGAGGGCUCCCUCUGAGUGGAGCCCCCGGGGCGUGUACAGCCCCAGCCUGACACGUGGCUUGCACGACAAGGCUAGAUGGGGUGUGUCUGGGCACCCGUGGGCCAGUGCAUGACUCACGAGGCCCUACCUCAAGGCGGGUUGCACCUGUUAUUAAAUUUUGAUAGCUUCAGCGGUCCUACAAGAUGGUUAGGCAACCUGCGCCGAACGAAUUUCCUGAGGCGGUCACAUGAGGAGGCUAGGCACCAACGACCCUAGGAGGUGACGUUAAUGGGGCCGGCCCGCCAGACAGAGCAGAGUCGUUGGGUUUAUCGACGUUGCAGGGACGGGCCCGAGAACAGACACCGUGCCAAGCCUACUCAUGCGAGGGAUCCUAAAGAAAGACAACCAGCGCGCGGCUCCCAUGAUAACUACGGCGGUCGUGGGCGGGGUAUUAGAUAAGGAAGUGAUAGUCAUAGAAUGACUUAAGCAAAGCGGCAGGUUAGCUCAGAUAGAUGCAAGAAUAAUACACGCCACUGGGAUGGACCCGAGCAACAUGGGGAUGAUGCAUCCCGAGGGGCGCUCCCAGCAGGGUAAGCUAAAGAUGCAAAAGGAUACACGUCACGGGGACAGACCCAUGCGACUUGGAAAGAGUCACCUGAUAAUGCCACUAGAGUGGUGUUGGAGUAGCCGAUGGUGCGUGCCGAAGGGUCGUUCCUCACUAGCCGCCAGGGCCCUGAGCCUCAGAAGGCUACGGCGGCUCGGGUGGUUCCUUGAGGACCAUCGCCAUCUCCGCCAGGACAGCGUGAUGCCUGGCCUCCUGAGCCGUAAAGAUGCUCCGCAGGUGGCGCUGGUAGGUGACGCCCAUGUUCGGCAAGCCAAAGGGCAUAUGGACGUAACUGUGAGGUGGACCCUUGCACCGACCAACGCGCGAAGGCCAGAAGCGCUCCUGAGAUGCGGCCCUGUUGAGCCCCGGAAUGUCGACAUAGACGCGCGGCCCUCCAUCCUCGCCAGGAUGGGGGGCUACGCCAGGUGGUGGGUGGUGGUCGCCACGUAUGGCCCUUGCCUCCUGAAGCUCCUCGGUCGCCUUGAUGAUGAACUCCUGAGCACCGGGCGCUCCUCGCCCAGUGCCCUCCUGACGGAAACAUGCGGUAAAGCACGCCUCCACAUGGUGCCCGAGCGCCUCCCUCGUGAUGUUGGCCAGGUCCAAGGCCCUCCAGAAGAGAGCCCCCGAGCCUUGCCCUAGGAGGGCGCUAGGCACGCCUUCCUAUGCGAGGGAGGGAGGCCCCCCAGCUGUGGGCACAGGUCCUAAGGUGGUGCCACUGGAAACGCUGCCCUCCCCGGGCGGAGUAGCUGCUUAUUCUUCUUAGGGAUGGCUGCUACCUCUUGAGCAUGCGUUGGUUUUCCCUUGAAGAGGAAAGGGUGAUGCAACAAAGUAGCGUAAGUAUUUACCACAAUUUUUGAGAACCAAGGUAUCAAUCUAGUAGGACACUACACACAAGUCGCCUAGUACCUGCACAAAUAAUCAAGAACCUUGCAACCAAAGCGAAAAAGGGGUUGUCAAUCCCUUCACGACCACCUGCAAAAGUGAGAUCUCAUAAAUAUAAUAAGAUAAAUAUUUUUGGUAUUUUUGUUGUAUAGAUUGGAAAGUAAAGAUUGCAAAGUAAACAGCGACAGAGAUAGCUAGUUAACGGGAGACUAAUAUGAUGUAAAAUAGACCCGGGGCCAUAGGUUUCACUAGUGGCUUCUCUCAAGAUAGAAAAUAUUACGGUGGGUGAACAAAUUACUGUCGAGCAAUUGAUAAAAAAGCGCAUAGUUAUGAGAAUAUCUAGGCAUGAUCAUAAACAUACGCAACACGUCUAUGACAAGUAGACCGAAACGAUUCUGCAUCUACUACUAUUACUCCACACAUCGACCGCUAUCCAGCAUGCAUCUAGAGUAUUAAGUUCAUAAGAACAGAGUAACGCAUUAGGUAAGAUGACAUUAUGUAGAGGGAUAAACUCAAGCAAUAUGAUAUAAACCCCAUCUUUUUACCCUUGAUGGCAACAAUACAAUACAUGCCUUGCUGCCCCUGCUGUCACUAGGAAAGGACACCGCAAGAUUGAACCCAAAGCUAAGAACUUCUCCCAUUGCAAGAAAGAUCAAUCUAGUAGGCCAAACCAAACUGAUAAUUCGAAGAGAUUUGCAAAGAUAUUAAAUCAUGCAUAUAAGAAUUCAGAGAAGAAUCAAAUAUUGUUCAUAGAAAAUCUUGAUCAUAAAUCCACAAUUCAUCGGAUCUUGACGAACACACCACAAAAAGAAUUACAUCGAAUAGAUCUCUAGGAAGAUCGAGGAGAACUUUGUAUUGAGAUCCAAAGAGAGAGAAGAUCCCUCAUUAUUACGCCUGCUGAGGAAUCUCAAUUGCUUUCCUUGAAGAAAAUGUUGCUUCUCUUCUCUAAGUCCACUGGGUUGCAUGUCAACUAUCAUAAGUCAGCUAUGCUUCCCAUUAAUGUGGAUUCAGUGGAGAUUGCUAGACUAGCUGCAGUCUUUGGUUGUGUGGUUGGCACUCUUCCUUUUACUUAUCUUGGGCUCCCUGUGGGAAUUACCAAACCCAAGAUCUUGGACUUAAUGCCUGUGGUUGAUAGUAUGGAGAGGAAACUGUCUAUCAGCUCUUCUUUCCUGGCUCAUGGAGGAAGGCUGUAGUACCUGAUCUCUGCCCUCUCUUCUGUGCCAAUUUUUUUCCUAUGUAGACGGGACUUGCCUCCUGGUAUUUUAAAGCAGUUGGCGAGAAUACAGAGGCAGUGCCUUUGGAGGAAGUAUGGCUAAGAUUCUGGUUAGUCUCUGGCUGCUUGGGGUUUGGUUUGCCGGCCCAAAAACAAAGGUGGUCUGAGUAUUUUGAAUCUGAAGCUACAGAAUGAGGCUCUGCUUCUCAAACAUGCUAGCAAAUUUUACAAUAAAGUUGAUGUGCCCUGGGUCCAACUCAUUUGGAAUACUUACUACCAUGGCAGAGUUCCUCAUGCUACCAUCAUUUGUGGCUCCUUCUGGUGUAGAGAUAUAUGCAAGUUAAUGGAUAAGUUCAGGAUGGUCAGUGCAGUGCAUCUUAACAAGGGUGACACUGUUUUGUUUUGGUCUGAUUCUUGGACCUUGGGGGACACUAGUAUCCCUCUUGAACAAAGGUUUGCCAGGCUUUUUUCAUUUGCCAUUGAUCCCCUCAUCUCUGCUGCUGAGGUUUUUGACUCGACUGAGCUCACUUCCUUAUUUCAUUUACCCCUCUCUGAGAGAGCUUUUGGAGAGCUGCAGUCUUUGCAAAAUCUGCUUCUGCAUUCAAAGCAUAACAUUCAGUUGAAUGAUACAUGGGUAUGGAAAGAAGAUGGCAAGGGUUAUUCUGCCAAGAAAUAUUACUCCUUCUUGCAUAAGCACAUUGUGUCCAACCCAAUUUUAUCCUGGAUUUGGCCUAGUUGUUGCACUAUGAGAGUCAAGUUCUUUGCUUGGAUGUUGAUCAUGGAUCAGCUGAACACUCAGGAUAUGCUGGAAACAAGGCACUGGAAUGUAUCUGAUUCAAACCUUUGUGUACUCUAUCCCACACACUCCAAGGAGGAUAGAGAUCACCUAUUCUUUCAAUGUAACUUUAGUUGCAUGGUUUGGAACUAUCUUCAAGUCAAUUGGAUGGCUGGAGAUGAUAUGGUUGCCAUUGCUUAUAAUGCUAGAAGGGAUUUUGGCAAGCCUUUCUUCUCUGAAGUGGUUUUUCUGGCAUGCUGGAACAUCUGGAAUGUUAGGAAUGAUAUGGUUUUCAGGAAUAUUAGGCCUUCUUUUUGUAGGCGGAGGUCUUCUUUUAUUUUGGACAUUUCCCUCUUGGUUCAUAGGAUUAAGCCUAAGUUCAAAGAGGAUCUGCUUAGAUGGAUCUCCUUUUUGCCACCUUGAGGUUAGCAUGUUGUUUUUUUUCCUCUUUUUCCUUUUUGGGUCUCUUGGACCUUGUAAGUUGUGUACAUAUGUAAUUUUUUAUGGGAGGAAUAAAAUUGCUGUGGUGUCCGCACCCUACAGUUUCAGGUCACAAAAAAAUAUGGACCCGAAGGUCUCUGGUAAACUACCCGCACAUCAUCGGAGAGGCUAUGGUGUUGAUGUAGAAGACCUUCGUGAUCGAAUUCCCCACCUGCGGAGCACUAGAAAAGGCCCCAAGAUGGGAUCUCAUGGGUACAGAAGGUUGCGGCGGUGGAAAAGGUGUUUCAUGGCUCUCCCCAAUGGUUUCAGUGUAUGAGAGUAUAUAUAGGCGAAAGAAGUAGGUUGGUGGAGCUGCGAGGGGCCCACAGGGUGGGGGGCGCGCCUGGCCGCCCUGGGCGUGCCCUCCUGCCUCGUGGCUUCGUCGCUGCUUCCUUGACAUCCACUCCAAGUUUCCUGGAUUGCAUUUUUUUCCAAAAAAAGGUCCUCGCAAAGGUUUCGUUCCGUUUGGAUUCCAUUUGAUAUUCCUUUUCUACGAAACACUGAAAUAGGCAAAAAAACAGCAAUUUGCACUGGGCCUUCGGUUAAUAGGUUAGUCCCAAAAAUAAUAUAAAAGUGCAUAGUAAAGCCCAUUAAACAUCCAAAACAGAUAAUAUAAUAGCAUGGAACAAUCUAAAAUUAUAGAUACGUUGGAGACGUAUCAAGCAUCCCCAAGCUUAAUUCCUGCUCGCCCUCGAGUAGGUAAAUGAUAAGAACAGAAUUUUUGAUGUGGAAUGCUACAUAACAUAUUUUUCAAUGAAAUUUUCUUUAUUGUGGCAUGAAUGUGUAGAUCCGAAAGAUUCAAGACAAAAUUUUAAUAUUGACAUAAAAAUAAUCAUACUUCAAGCAUACUAACUAAGCAGUUAUGUCUUCUCAAAAUAACCUGGCCAAAGAAAGCUUAUCCCUACAAAAUCAUAUAGUUUGGCUAUGCUUCAUUUUCGUCACACAAAAAUUUUCUCAUCAUGCACAACGCCGAUGACAAGCCAAGCAAUUGUUUCAUACUUUAGUAAUCUCAAACUUUUGUCAACUUUCACGCAAUGCAUGAGCGUGAGCCAUGGACAUAGCACUAUGUGAUGAAUAGAAUAUAAUGAUGGGGGUUGUGUGGAGAAGAAAAAAAAAGAUAAAGUCUCACAUUGAUGCACCUAAUCAACGUGCUAUGGAGAUGCCCGUCAAUUGAUGUCAAUGCGAGGAGUAGGGAUUACCAUGCAAUGGAUGCACUAGAGCUAUAAAUGUAUGAAAGCUCAACAAAAGAAAUUAAGCGGGUGUGCAUCCAACUUGCUUGCUCACGAAGACCUAGGGCAUUUGAGGAAGCACAUUGUUGGAAUAUACAAGCCAAGUUCUAUAAUGAAAAAAUCCCACUAGUAUAUGAAAGUGACAAUAUAAGAGACUCUCUAUCAUGAAGAUCAUGGUACUACUUUGAAGCACAAGUGUGGAAAAAGGAUAGUAGCAUUGUCCCUUUUAUUUUUUUAUUUGGCCUUUCUUUUUUUCAUUUGGCCUUCCCCCUUUUGGGGACAAUGCUCUAUUAAUGAUGAUCAUCACACUUCUAUUUAUUUACAACUCAAAGAUUACAAAUCGAUACUAGAACAAAGUAUGACUCUAUAUGAAUGCCUCCGACGGUGUACCGGGAUGGUCAAUGAAUCAAGAGUAACAUGUAUGAAAUUAUGCAUGGUGGCUUUGCCACAAAUACGAUGUCAACUACAUGAUCAUGCAAGGCAAUAUGACAAUGAUGAAGCGUGUCAUAAUAAAUGUAACGGUGGAAAGUUGCAUGGCAAUAUAUCUCAGAAUGGCUAUGCAAAUGCCAUAAUAGGUAGGUAUGGUGGCUGUUUUGAGGAAGCUAUAAGGAGGUUUAUGUGUGAUAGAGUGUAUCAAAUCACGGGGGUUGGAUGCACCGGCGAAGUUUGCACCAACUCUCAAGGUGACAAAUGGCAAUGCACGGUACCGAAGAGGCUAGAAAUGAUGGGAAGGUGAAAGUGCGUAUAAUCAAUGGACUCACCAUUAGUCAUAAAGAACUCACAUAAUUAUUGAAAAAAUAUACAAGUCAUCAAAACCAAGCAUUACACGCAUUCUCCUAGGGGGAUAGAUUGGUAGGAAAAGACCAUCGCUCGUCCCCGACCGCCACUCAUAAGGAGGACAAUCAAAGAACCACCUCAUGCUUCACAUUUGUCACACAACGUUUACCAUACUUGCAUGCUACGGGACUUGCAAACUCAAACACAAGUAUUUCUCAAUCACAACUACUCAACUAGUAUGACUCUAAUAUUACCAUCUUCAUAUCUCAAAACAAUCAUCAAGUAUCAAACUUCUCAUAGUAUUCAAUGCACUCUAUAUGAAAGUUUUUUAUUAUACCCAUCUUGGAUGCCUAUCAUAUUAAGACUAAUUUUAUAGCCAAACCAAAUUACCAUGAUGUUCUAAAGGACUCUCUAAAUAAUAUACGUGAAGCAUGAGAGAUAAAUAAUUUCUAUAAAAUAAAACCACCACCGUGCUCCAAAAGAUAUAAGUGAAGCACUAGAGCAAAAUUAUCUAGCACAAAAGAUAUAAGUGAAGCGCAAAGAGUAUUCUAAUAAAUUCCGAUUCUUGCGUGGCUCUCCAAAAGGUGUGUAUAGAAAGGAUGAUUGUGGUAAACUAAAAAGGAAAGACUCAAAUCAUACAAGACGCUCCAAGCAAAACACAUAUCAUGUGGUGAAUAAACAUAUAGCCUCAAGUAAAGUUACCGAUGGACGAAGACGAAAGAGGGGAUGCCUUUCGGGGCAUCCCCAAGCUUAGGCUUUUGGUUGUCAUUGAAUUUUACCUUGGGGUGCCUUGGGAAUUCCCAAUCUUAGGCUCUUGCCACUCCUUAUUCCAUAAUCCAUCAAAUCUUUACCCAAAAACUUGAAAACUUCACAACAGAAAACUCAACAGAAAAUCUCAUGAGCUCCGUUAGUAUAAGAAAAGAAACCACCACCUUAAGGUAAUGAACUCAUUAUUUAUUUAUAUUGGUGUUAAACCUACUGUAUUCCAACUUCUCUAUGGUUCAUACCCCUCGAUACUAGCCAUAGAUUCAUCAAAAUAAGCAAACAACACACGAAAAGCAUAAUCUCUCAAAAACAGAACAAUUUGUAGUAAUCUGUAGGUUUCGAAUACUUCUGUAACUCCAAAAAUCGUGAGAAAUUAGGACGUCCUAAAUAAUUUGUAUAUUGAUCUAAUGCAGUUGGAAUUGAUAUUUAUCGCUCUGUGGUAAAUAAUGAAAAUUAUUCUCAUGAGCGCAUACUUUCUGUUUUUUCAGCAAGAUCAAACAACAAUCAUCCAAGAACAUCCUAAAGGCUUUACUUGGCACAAACACUAAUUAAAACAAAAAAAACACAAUCAUAGAAGUAGAUAGAUGAUUUAUUUAUUGCUAAACAGGAACAAAAAACAAGAAACGGAAAUAAAAUUGGGUUGCCUCCCAAUAGGCGCUAUCGUUUAACGCCCCUAGCUAGGCAUAAAGACAAGAAUAGAUCUAGGUAUUAUCAUCUUUGGUAGGUAAUUGUUCAAUUGAACACUUAUAACCCUUAGGGGUUUCCUUCUUUUUAUUGAUGAUCAAACUCCUAGGCAAGAAAUCAAGAAAUUCAUUUGUAGCAAAAGGUUCCUUAAUGAUAGUGAAAAAGUUGGGGUGAACACUUAUUGAUUUGAGAUUCGCAUUUUCCUUACUAGAAGAUUCACCCUUAUUUUUAGGAACAUUCAUAAACUUGGCAACUUUGGUAGUAGGAGGGUUUCAAGUGUUUCUUAUGGCAGAAAAGGCAGACCCUAAGUUGGUAAUAAUAUCCUCAAGUUUAUCAAUUCUUGUAGAAUCUCGAUCUAUCUUUUCAUUAACUAUGGGUUCUUUCUCCCGAAAAAAUUUAAGAGUAACUCCUACCAUAGAUCCAUAUUGAGUAAUUUGAUUGUGGAUAUUUUUAUCCAAAUUCUCGAUCAACUCUACAGUGGCAACUUUAUUUUCGAUAAUUUCAAGCAUUUGCAUCACAUGUUCCAAAGUUAAAAUAGUUCGAUUAACCAAAAGAGGUGGUGGGACAAAAAAUCUAUCAUAGCAUUAUAAGAAUCAAAAGUAUGGCUACCCAAGAAAUUUCCUCCGGUAACGGUAUCAAGAACAUAUCUGUUCCAAGGAAUUAUGCCUACAUAAAAAUUGCGAAGAAGAACGGAAGUAGAUUGCUUCCUAGUGGAUCUAUUCCGAGCAUUGCAAAAUCUAUACCAAGCAUAUUUUAGAUUUUCUCCCUCCCUUUGUUUAAAAUUAAGAACUUCAUGAUCGGGAGUACUAACAAUGAUAGAAGGACUAGCCAUAACGGCAAAGCAAACGAUCUAUCACACGAACACACAAGAAGCAAGCGAAAAGAGGCGAAUGGAUAAAGGGCGAAUAAAACGGCAAAGGUGAAGUGGGGGAGAGGAAAACGAGAGGCAAAUGGCAAAUAAUAUAAUGCAUGGGAUAAGAGUUUGUGAUGGGUACUUGGUGUGUAUUGACCUGGCAUAGAUCUCCCCGGCAACAGCGCCAGAAAUGGCUAGUUGACGGGAGAUCAAAUCUUGACUUGACUUGGUGCAAAUCUCCCCCACAAUGGUGCCAGAAAUCCUUCUUGCUACCUCUUGAUCAUGCGUUGGUUUUCCGUUGAAGAUGAAAGGGUGAUGCAGCAAAGUAACGUAAGUACUUCCCUCAGUUUUUGAGAACCAAGGUAUCAAUCCAGUAGGAGACUACAUGCAAGUCGCCUAGUACCUGCACAAACAAUCAAGAACCUUGCAACCAACGUGAUAAAGGGGUUGUCAAUCCCUUCACGGCUACUUGCAAAAGUGAGAUCUGUUAAAGAUAAUAAGAUAAAUAUUUUUGGUAUUUUUGUUUUAUAGAUUGGAAAGUAAAGAUUGCAAAGUAAACGGCGAUAGAGAUAGCUAGUUAACGGGAGACUAAUAUGAUGUAAAAUAGACCCGGGGGUCAUAGGUUUCACUAGUGGCUUCUCUCAAGAUAGCAAAUAUUACGGUGGGUGAACAAAUUGCUGUCGAGCAAUUGAUAAAAAAGUGCAUAGUUAUGAGAAUAUCUAUGCAUGAUCAUAAACAUAGGCAUCAUGUCCAUGACAAGUAGACUGAAAUGAUUCUGCAUCUACUACUAUUACUCCACACAUCGACCGCUAUCCAACAUGCAUAUAGAGUAUUAAGUUCAUAAAAACAGAGUAACGCAUUAGGUAAGAUGACAUGAUGUAGAGGGAUAAACUCAAGAAAUGUGAUAUAAAUCCCAUCUUUUUACCCUCGAUGGCAACAAUACAAUACGUGCCUUGCUGCGCCUGCUCUCACUGGGAAAGGACACCGCAAGAUUGAACCCAAAUCUAAGCACUUCUGCCAUUGCAAGAAAGAUCAAUCUAGUAGGCCAAACCAAACUGAUAAUUCGAAGAGAAUUGCAAAGAUAUUAAAUCAUGCAUAUAAGAACUCAGAGAAGAAUCAAAUAUUUUUCAUAGAUAAUCUUGAUCCUAAAUCCACAAUUCAUCGGAUCUCAACAAACACACCGCAAAAAGAAUUACAUCGAAUAGAUCUCCAAGAAGAUCGAGGAGAACUUUGUAUUGAGAUCCAAAGAGAGAGGAGAAUCCAUCUAGUUAAUAACUAUGGACCCGAAGGUCUAUGGUAAACUACUCACACAUCAUCGGAGAGGCUAUGGUGUUGAUGUAGAAGCCCUCCAUGAUCGAAUCCCCCUCCGGCGGAGCGCCAAAAAAGGCCUCAAUAUGGGAUCUCACAGGUACAUAAGGUUGCGGCAGUGGAAAAGGUGUUUCGUGGCUCUCCUCGUUGGUUUCAGGGUAUAAGAGUAUAUAUAUAUAUAGGCCAAUGAAGUAGGUCGGUGGAGCUGUGAGGGGCCCACGAGGGUGGGGGGCGCGCCUGGCCCCCUGGGCGCGCGCUCCUGCCUCGUGGCUUCCUCGCUGCUUCCUUGACGUCUACUCCAAGUCUCCUGGAUUGCAUUUGUUCCAAAAAAUAUCCUCGCGAAGGUUUAGGUCCGUUUGGAUUCUGUUUGAUAUUCCUUUUCUAUGAAACACUGAAAUAGGAAAAAACAACAAUUUGCACUGGGCCUUCAGUUAAUAGGUUAGUCCCAAAAAUAAUAUAAAAGUGCAUAGUAAAGCCCAUUAAACAUCCAAAACAGAUAAUAUAAUAGCAUGGAAUAAUAAAAAAUUAUAGAUACGUUGGAGACUUAUCAAUGGCCAUAGGAGGGUACACGAUGCCUUCGUUGUCGAGGUCUUCGAUCGCAGUGGCUUGGAAGGCACGCUCAAGGGAGCACACCGCAUCUCUUCCUUCGCAGGGGACCAUGAUGAUGCCUCCACUCCCUCGCAUCUUGAGGACGUUGUAGCCAUGGUGGGUCACUGCAAUAAACUUGGCCAAUGCUGGGUACCCAAGGAUGGUGUUGUACGGCAGACAGAUGUGGGCGACGUCAAAGUCGAUGAGCUCGGUGCGGUAGUUGUUACGCUGGCCGAAGGUGACAGGGAUGCGGGCCUGCCCUAUCGAGGUGGUGGAGCCAUCGGUUACUCCUGAGAAAGGAUUGGUAGGUUGUAGCUGAUCGUAUGACACUUGGAGGCUAUCGAAUGUCUCGACGGACAGGACAUUGAGCCCUGCGCCCCCGUCGAUGAGGGUCUUGGUGACUUCGACGUUGCUGAUGACGGGUGAAAAAAGCAUCGGAAGGAUGCCGGCGGUCGCCACGCACUUGAGAUGGUCUACCAAGCUGAAGGUGAUGGCGUACUUGGACCACCUGAGCGGGCGCGUGGCCUCGAGACUGGGAAGGGCCGCAUUCACCUCACGAGCAAACUGCUUGAAGAUGCACUGAGAAGCUGGGGCCUGAGCACCGCCUAGGAUGCAUGCAAUAGCGCGCGGCUCCUGGAAGCCCCCAGCCCCCUCGUCCUGAUGGUGGUCGUCGUUCCUCCUUGGUGGUGGCGGCAACGGAGGGAGGCCAGCAUUGCCCUGAGGACGGUUCUCACGAGACUGGUCCCUCCAGGCGCCCUCACGAGGCUGGUCCUACCAGUGAUCCUCGGGAGGCCGAUCGCGCCACUCCUGACGGGGGCCGCAGUCGUCCCAGCGCCCCCACUUCGUCCUCCUCAUCGGCCGUUGCCCCGGUCGUUACGCUCGGGGCGCCGCUCGAAGCGUCCAUCUUGAAUGGCUCUGAGCUCUUGGCAGUCGUUAGUGUUGUGGCUGUGUACAUUGUGGAAGGUGUAGAACGGACGGCUGCUCUUAGAUGACUCGGGGUGGUCCCGACCGCGCUUCGAGUCCAGCUCCGCCGCGAGCACGGCUACUCCCUUGCACUUCACAUCCUUGGCCUUGGCUUUUUUCUCUUCGGGGUCAGCAGUAGGGAGCUCGAGGAGGGAGAGGCGCCCCUCCUCAGCUCUUGCGCACUUGGUCACCGUAUUGAACAUCUCCAGGGCCGAGCAUAGCUCUUCGUGGAUGGGGAGCUCCUCCUUCAUAUUGACAUCGCAGACGCCAUCGGAGAAUGCGGAGAUGAUGGCCUCGUUUGUCACCUUGGGGAUCUUGAGGCGGGCGCUGUUGAAGCACUGGAUGUACUUUUGCAGGGUUUCUCCUGGUUGUUGCUUGAUGCACCGCAGGUCGCCUGCGGCUGGCGGGCGGUCGCGAGUACCCUGGAAUUUGGCAAUGAAAUGCUCGCGCAUCUCGCCCCACGAGGAGAUCAAUCCCGCGGGCAGGUUCAGGAGGCACGACCGAGCGCCAUCCUUGAGAGCCAUGGGAAACCAGUUCGCCAUGACUUAUUCAUCGUCGUUGGCUGCCUCAAUGCUCAGCUCGUAGAGUUUCAAGAACUCCGCAGGGUCGGGGAUGCCGUCGUAUCUCGGAGGCAGAUCCGGCUUGAACUUUCCUGGUCAAACGAUGUUGCGUAGCUCGGGAGUAAAGGCUCGGCAACCUGAUGUGGUCACCGAAGCCCGUCGUGGCGGUGGAAUCUGGUCUUGGCACCCAUGCACCGCCACGGCGGGAGGCGCGCGGUCUUGACGUGGUGGUGCGGGGGGCGCGGGAGCGUUUUCUUGCAAUCGAGGGACCUCUUGGCAGCUUCUUUCUUCGUGCGUGGGCACACAGCAUGGUGGAUCACGUCGCGGGACCACGCGUCUUGGGGCAAGGACACCGUCUUGGUGCGAAGGAGGUGGGGGCGCUCCGUGAGCCGCGUGUCUCAGUGCGAGGGCGCCGUCUUGAUGUAGGGUCGGCAGAGGCGCUCCUUGAGCUAUGUCCCCCGCGGCUGGAAGCGGUCGAGGUAGCGAGAGGGAUGGUGAAGGAGAGCCCCCAGCGGCGUUGACGAGCUCGGUGAUGCGGUCCAAUCAGUCUUCGUAGAGGUCGUCGACCGGGCGGUAACGCAGGAGCUCCCGUGCCAUGAGCAACGCGGCCUGCGCAUCCACGGGCUCGCGAUGAGCGUGGGAUGACGCGCUAGUCGGAGUCAGCGACAGGGUGGCGGUGCGGCCAUCCCGCCGCACAAAGGGGUGUAGCGAUGACGCCUGCUGCUCGUUCGCUGACGGGACGGUGGUGGCAUUUGUAGCAGGUGAUGGAGAACGGCGGGGAGGUCCUCCAUCGGGCGCUGUAUGGGCGACACGAGCGGCGAGGGUGACGCGGCGCUUAGCACGGGCUCAGCGAGCGUCCGACAUGGAUACGAUGGAGCCGUGGAACAUGGAUCGACUGAGGGAAAGCUUCAUCGCACCUCUACCUUGCAUGCCAAAUGUCGGAUUAUGGAUUUCGGCAAACACUUGAGGUUCGAACACUAGGGUGCGCACGAAGAUCUCACCCCCCCUAGCUCACACUCUCGCAACAAUCUCAAAGCCUAGCUCGCCGAACCCAAGGAACAAAGGACACAAGAGUUUAUACUAGUUCGGGCCACCGUUGCUGUGUAUUACCCUACUCCAGUGUGGUGUGCUAGAUUGCCUUGUAGGCUGGGGAUGAACAAGUACAAGGGAAGAACAACCUCCUGAGGAGAGGCGUUCUUGAGCUUGAUGAGCUUGUGUGCUUGGGGAUGAUCUGAAUGACCCGUCUCUAGAAGAGCCCAUCCAUCCUACGAUGGUGGCUAGUCCUAUUUAUAGAGGCCCGGGUCCUCUCCCCAAAUAUUAGGCGGGGAGGGAUCCCACAAAGGCCAAUUCGAAGGGGGACAACAAGUACAAGUUAUCCCGACAAAAGGUGGUCUUCGCCUACCAAAGGCUCUAGUGGUGACGCCGUCGUGGGCUCUGUGAUGACCUCCGUCUUGCCAUCCUACUAGUCUUGGUCUUGUUGCACUGACACAGAAACCUUUGCCUGACGCCUCGGGACUCCUCGCCUGCGCCUGUCUCUUUAGCACCAAAGAGGAAACUGGCACUCUGCGCCUGCUGGGCCCGCCUGGCCUUGGUUGUCAUGGCUCACGUCACGGAAACCUCACGAGGCGGCCCUUGCCUUGAUCUCUCCGCUCCUCGCGAGCCAGCCUAGUGAGGCUGCCCCUGAGGAGGUCUUAUGUCGUUCACCUCGCGAGGGGUAUUGAGCAUUGGUUGAUGAAGAUGGGUCGUACAAGGCCCCUGGUGGAGCCACGCCCUGGGCCGCAGGCACGCAAGUCCGGGUACCCCCGUUCCCAGGAUGCCAACAAGAUUGCUCUUUUAUUUAUCUUUUAUACCUAUCUCUAUCAGAUAUCACUCUUGUUCGUGACCGUGAAGGGAUUGACAACCCCGUUUUUCGCGUUGUGUGCAAGUGUUUGUUAGUUUGUGAGGUGCAUAGAUUGGAGACUUUCUUGUGCCUCCUACUAGAUUGAUGCCUUGGUUCUUAACUGAGGGUCAUACUUAUCUCUACUCUGCUGCAGCACCCUUUCCUCUUCAAGGAAAAAAAUCAAUGCAAGCUCAAGCAGUAGCACGAAUAAUUUCUGGCGUCGUUGCCGGGGAGGUUCUACAUCAAGCCUACCAAGUACCUAUCAUAAGCUCUCAUCUUUUGCACUUACAUUAUUUUCCAUUUUCCUCUCGUUUUCCUCUCCCCCACUUCUGAAACAUUUUCAAAAAAACACAAAAAUAUUUUCCUUUUUAUUCGCCUUCUUUUUGUUUGCCUUUUCGUUUGCCCUUAUGUCUUACUUGGUUUGUUUGCUUGUUUGCUUGCCAUAAUUGUGUAUUUAUUCAAAAUUAGAAAGCAAAAGGUUUAUGAAUCUCAUCCACUUGCCAAUAUUUUUAAAAGAUCCAACUAUGAUGAACCAAUUUCUAGUGAGUUGUGGGCACUAGAUUAUCUUUAUGAAGUUUUGCUUGAAAUUCGUGAAUCUGAAAAUUGUGAUGAAGUGCUAAAAGAAUAAAUUUAUGAAGGGAUUCACGAUAGCUCCUUGAAUGAAAAGCAUAAUUGCAAUGAUGUUAUUAUAAAUUCUAUUAAUGUCAAUUGUGCCAAUAAUAUGCAAAACCCUAAGCUUGGUGAUUCUAAUUUUGCUAUGUAUGCUACUUAUUGGAAUGAUCAUGAUUGGGUGAUUCUUCUUAUGAUCUUGAAAAUUUAUUUAAGCCUCGUGAUGAAUAUGUUUGCAAUAUUAUUGAAAGUGGGUUGGAAGAGUGUCAAUGAUACAUCCAUUUUGCAUCAUGCUUUUAUGUUGAUAUUUAUUGCAUUAUGGGUUGUUAUUACACAUUAUGGUACACUAUUUGUGUGUUUUCUCUCUUAUUUUACAAGGUUUACAUGAAGAGGGAGAAUGCCGGCAGCUGGAAUUCUAGACCAGAAAGGAGCAAAUCUCAGAGACCUAUUCUACACAACUCCAAAAGUCCUGAAAAUUUACGGAGAAUUGUUUUAGAAUAUAUAAAAAUAUUGGGCGAAGAAAAUACCAAAGGGGGCCCACCAGGUUGCCACAAGCCUGGGGGCGCCCCCAAGGCUUGUGGGCCCCCUGGCAGCUCUCCAGUACGCAUCUUCUGCUAUAUGGAGGGUUCUGACAUAGGAAAAAUCAUAAGGAAGCAAACUAGGGCUCCGACGGAGCUGUUCUGUCGAGGAAACUUCCCUCCGGGAGGGGGAAAUCAAAGCCAUCGUCAUCACCAAUGAUCCUCUCAUCGAGAGGGGGUCAUUCUCCAUCAACAUAAUCACCAGCACCAUCUCCUCUCAAAACCUAGUUCAGGUCUUGUAUCCGAUCUUUGUCUCAAAACCUCAGAUUGGUACCUAUGGGUUGCUAGUAGUGUUGAUUACUCCUUGUAGAUGAUGUUAGUUGGUUUAUUCGAUCGAAGAUCAUAUGUUCAGAUCCUUAAUGAGAUUCAAUACCCCUCUGAUUAUGAACAUGAAUAUGCUUUGUGAGUAGUUACGUUUGUUCCUGAGGACAUGGGAGAAGUCUUGGUAUAAGUAAUCAUGUGAAUUUGGUAUUUGUUCGAUAUUUUGAUGAGAUGUAUGUUGUCUUUCCUCUAGUGGUGUUAUGUGAACGUCGACUACAUGACACUUCACCAUGAUUUGGGCCUAGGGGAAGGAAUUUGGAAGUAAUUAGUAGAUGAUGGGUUGCUAGAGUGACAGAAGUUUAAACAAUGUUUAUGUGUUGCUUCGUAAGGGGCCGAUUUGGAUCCAUAUGUUUCACGCUAUAGUUAGGUCUAUCUUAUUUUUUCUUUCCUAGUUGCGGAUGCUUGCGAGAGGGGUUAAUCAUAAGUGGGAGGCUUGUACAAGUCAAGGCAACACCCAAGCACCGGUCCACCCACAUAUCAAAUUAUCAAAGUACCGAAUGCGAAUCAUAUGAGCAUGAUGAAAAGUAACUUGACAAUAAUUCCCAUGUGUCCUCGGGAGUGGUUUUCUUUAUAUAAGAGUUUCUCCAGGCUUAUCCCUUGCUACAAAAAGGAUUAGGCCACCUUGCUGCACCUUAGUUACAUUUGUUACAUGUUCCCCGUUACGAAUUAUCUUAUCACAAAACUAUUUGUUACCAAUAAUUUCAGUGCUUGCAGAGAAUACCUUGCUGAAAACCGCUUGUCAUUUCCUUCUUCUCCUCGUUGGGUUCGACACUCUUACUUACCAAAAGGACUAUGAUAGAUCCCCUAUACUUGUGGGUCAUUAAGAGUCUUUUCUGGCAACGUUGUCGGGGAGUGAAGCGCCUUUGGUGAGUGGAAUUUGUUAAGGAAACAUUUAUAUUACGUGCUGAAAUUUACUGUCACUUGUUACUAUGGAGAAUCAUCCUUUAAGGGGCUUGCUCAGGGUAUCUUCACGUCGAUCCGUAGAGCAAGAAUUUUCUCCUCAACCUACUGCUCCUACUGAAAAUAUUUAUUAUGAAAUUCCUUCGGGUAUGAUCGAGAAACUGCUAGCUAAUCCUUAUGCAGGAGAUGGAACAUUACAUCCUGUGGAUGAAGUUUGUGGAUUAUUGAAUCUUGCAGGUUUGCUCGAGGAUGAUGUCAAGAAGAAGUUCUUCCCUUUAUCUUUGAAGGGAAAGGCAUUGAUAUGGUAUAUGAUAUGUGAUGAUAUUGGAGCUUGAAAUUACAACCGAUUGAAAUUGGAAUUUCAUCAGAAGUUUUAUCCUAUGCAUCUGGUUCAUCGUGAUCGGAAUUAUAUCUAUAAUUUUUGGCCUCAUGAAGGAGAAAGUAUCGCUGAAGCUUGGGGGAGGCUUAAUUCAAUGUUAUAUUCAUGCCCCAAUCAUGACCUCUCAAGAGAUAUUAUCAUUCAGAAUUUUUAUGCCUGGCUUUCUCGUAAUGAUCAAUCCAUGCUCGAUACUUCUUCAACUGGUUCUUUUAUAAAGAAGAGUAUUGAAUUCAAAUGGGAGUAUUGGAAAGAAUUAGAUGCAUCUCUGAAGAUUGGGAGAUCGAUGAAGGUAAGGAGUCGGGUAUAAACCUUAACUUUGAUUAUGUUAAAUCUUUUACGGAUACCGAUGCUUUUCGUGAAUUUAGCACUAAAUAUGGACUUGACUAUGAAAUAGUAGCUUCUCUCUGGGAAUCAUUUGCUACUCAUGUUGAUCUCCCUAAGGAGAAGUGGUUUAAAUAUGAUCCUCCCAUUGAAGUGAAAGUAGCUGAACCAAUUAAAGCCGAAGAAGAAACCAUUACUUGUAAUGUUGAUCCAGUUGUUCCUACUGCUUAUAUUGAGAAGCCACCUUUUCCUGUUAGGAUUAAAGAACAUGCUAAAGCUUCAGCUGUGGUUCAUAGGAGUUAUACUAGAACACCUACACCCACUAACAAAUUAAAGUUGAAUAUAGUAUUUCUAUGGUUAAAGAUCUCUUGGUCGAUAAUAUUGAUGGGCAUGUUAUUUAUUUCUGUGAUGAAGCUGCAAGAAUUGCCAAACCCGAUGAUAAAGAUAAAUAUAGACCUGUUGUUGGCAUGCCUGCUGUUUCUGUUAAGAUAGGAGAUCAUUGUUAUCAUGGCUUAUGUAAUUUGGGUGCUAGUGUCACUGCAAUUCCCUUUACUUUAUAUCAAGAAAUUAUGAAUGAUAUUGCACCUGCUGAGAUAGAAGAUAUUAAUGUUACUAUUAAGCUUGCCAAUAGAGAUACUAUCUCAACAAUUGCGAUUGUUAGAGAUGUUGAAGUCUUGUGCGGGAAAAUAAAAUACCCUACUGAUUUUCUUGUUCUUGGUUCCCCACAAGAUGAUGUUUGUCCCAUUAUAUUUGGUAGACCUUUCUUGAACAUUGUUAAUGCUAAAAUAGAUUGUGAGAAAGAAACUAUUAGUGUAUGUUUUGGGGAUGUGUCUCAUGAGUUUAAUUUCUCCAAAUUUCAUAGACAACCCCAUGAAAAAGAAUUUCCUAGUAAAGAUGAAAUUAUUGGUCUUGCUUCUAUUGACGUGCCUCCUACUAAUCCUUUAGAACAAUAUUUGUUGGACCAUGAAAAUGACAUGUUCAUGAAUGAAAGAAAGAAUUAGAUGAAAUAUUUUUUAAACAAACGCCUAUUUUGAAACACAAUUUGCCUAUUGAGACUCUUGGAGAUCCUCUACCACCCAGGAGUGAUCCUGUGUUUGAUCUUAAACAAUUUCCUAAUACUCUGAAAUAUGCUUAUCUCGAUGAAAAGAAGAUAUAUCAUGUUAUUAUUAGUGCUAACCUUUUAGAGCAUGAAGAAAAGAAAUUAUUGAAAACUCUAAAGAACCAUCGUGCCACUAUUGGAUAUACUCUGGAUGAUCUUAAGGGCAUUAGUCCCACUCUAUGUCAGCAUAAAGUUAAUAUGGAGCCUCAUGCUAAACCAGUUGUUGAUCACCAAUGACAGUUAAAUCCCAAGAUGAAAGAAGUGGUAAGAAAUCAAAUACUAAAGUUCUAGAAGUAGGUAUAAUUAUCCUAUUCUGAUAGUAGAUAGGUAAGUCAUGUUCAUUGUGUUCCAAAGAAGGGAGGUAUUACCGUUGUUCCCAAUGAUAAAAAUGAAUUGAUCCCAUAAAGAAUUGUUACAGGUUAUAGAGUGGUAACUGAUUUUAGAAAAUUAAACAAAGCUACUAGGAAAGAUCAUUCCCUUUACCUUUUAUUGAUCAAAUGCUAGAAAGACUAUCAAAACAUACACACUUUUGCUUCCUAGAUGGUUAUUCUGGUUUUUCUUAAAUACCUAUGUCACAAGAGGAUCAAGAAAAGACUACUUUUACAUGCCCUUUUGGUACUUUGGCUUAUAGACAUACACCUUUUGGUUAUGCAAUGCACCUGCUACAUUUCAAAGAUGUAUGACUUCUAUAUUCUUUGACUUUUGUGAAAAGAUUGUUGAGGGUUUUGUCGGUGUCAAAACCGGUAGAUCUCGGGUAGGGGGUCCUAAACUGUGUGUCUAAGGAUCAAAGGUAACAGGAGGUAGGGGACACGAUGUUUACCUAGGUUCGGGCCCUCUUAAUGGAGCUAAUACCCUACUUCCUGCUUGAUUGACUUUUAUGAGUAUAGGGGUUACAAGAGUUGAUCUACCUCGAGAUCGUGAUAGCUAAACCCUAGAUGUCUAGCCAGUAUCAUUAUGACUGCCUCUACAGACUAAAUCCUCCGGUUUAUAUAGACACCGAAGGGGGCUAGGGUUGUACAGAGUCGGUUUACAGAGAAAGGAAUCUUCAUAUCCGAACUCCAAGCUUGCCUUCCACGCCAAGGAGAGUCCCAUCCGAACACGGGGGGAAGCCCUCGAUCAUGUAUCUUCACGGCCCAUCAGUCUGACCCACAUUACAUAGCUCGAAUGCCCGAGGACCCCCUAGUCCAGGACUCCCUCAGCAGCCACCGAACCAGGCUUCAAUGACCACCUGUCUGGCAUGCAGAUUGUCUUCGGCAUUGCAAGGUGGGUUCCUCCUCCAAAUAUCCCAAAGCAAAAAGAACUGUAUUCGACUCCUCAAUGAUGAUGUAGUAUCCGGCUUUUAUAUCUUUGGUUCUAUUAGGUGGGCCCUCCAUGAUACUUUGGAUGGCUUCGGCUUCACAUUAAACAUCGUAUCCUUCGGCUCCUGCACCUCCGUCGCCUCGGCUUCCACGUGGCAAAUGAAUAUGAAGGGUCCAAGCAUUUUUAUAGAUAACACCCUGACGGCGCAUGGAAGGCGUCUAUUUAAGGAGAUGAGAUGUCAGAUGCCAUUCUCAACCAGGCUAAAAAAUCCUUGGAGCUAUCCACAGAGAACCACACAAACAUGGCUGGCGCUCCUAGUUCUUCCUCACGCCCUCACGGCCCCCAAAAACGCGAUUGGGAGAGCUGCUCGGUCUCCCACGCCCAUCUGACCAAGCUCCAGGUGCAAGGAUUUCUUUCUCCCAUGGACCUGGUUCCCGUCCGGGCAGGAUUAACUUCCAUAAAUGGUGACGCCCUCGCGGAAAAUUUCCCCAAUCCUUCGGAAGGGGAGCGAGUGUGCUUCAUUUCCUUCCUUUUAAGAGGCAUUGGAUUUCCAAUCCACCCUUUCCUCCGAGGUCUCCUAGAGUACUACGGCCUCCAGCUGCACAAUCUCAUGUCGGGCUCCAUUCUGCACAUCGCGGGCUUCGUGGCUCUCUGCGAGCUGUUCUUAGGUUGCAAGGCCCAUUUUGAGUUAUGGAAGAGACUUUUCUGCCUCGUCCCCUGCUCCCAAAAGGGAUCUAUAUUCAAGGUGGGCGGCGCCGAAGUAUGGCGUAUAGCUGGAACAAGAUACCUGUCUGGCACUCCGAAGAAGGCAUCCGAAGAGUGGCCCUUAGAGUGGUUUUAUAUUGAAGACGUAGUUCACCCAGACCUAAUCCGGUGGGGCCUACCCGAAUUUUGCAAUGCUCCGUUAAAGAAACACCAUAGCUGGAGUCCCCGGAGCCUCGAAGAGGAGGACAGUGCGGAGAUUAAGAAGCUAAUGAGCAAGAUAAAGAUACUCGCCCAAUCCGAACUAUCCAUAAUUGAGGUAAUAGCGAUUUCAAUAACAUGAGGCGUUCAGCCACUCCAAUCCAGAGGACUCCCCAUGUGGCACUACAAUGGGGAGGAUGACGCAUCACGCUGCGGGCGCAAGGGUCCGGGCAACUUUGCCGCAUUAGCCGCCAUGUUGGCUGAUCUUUAUAAAGGGGAGAAAGAAGAUUUUACUCGCCUUAAGUGUUGAGAGGGCCUUUCCAUGUACAACCCUCCUAACUGGGUGAGCUUUCACUUUGUAACAUUACUCAAUCCUCUUCCUGAGUCGCACCUAGUUGAACUUAAUCCGACUAUGUUUAAUAGGAAUGGAGGAAGGUUGUCGCGGGGAUCUAUAGCCCUGAACCGUAGCCGGAGGACCAUGUUCGAGACCUAGAUCCCGGAUUUGAAGAGGAUUCGGAUAUAUUCAUAGAGCUCAAGGAGGGGGUCGUUUAUCAGGUGAGCUACGAUGGCACAGAAGUGGCCAUCAUAGCCGAUUAUCCCGGCCUUCUCCCCUCCUCCCACGUAAGUACCUAGGAGAUGUCUCCUCCAAAAGAGUUUUCUCAUCGCGCUUCACCCACCGCAUUGUCUCGUGCUCCAAAGGGACAACGCUCAUCUCACCACGCCGCAUCAGAAACGUCCCUUAAGAAGGCGACACUUCCGCAGGGCGGAUCUUCGAAAAGAAAGGCGGACGGUGAUACUGUCGAGCCCCUACCUUCAUCAAAAAGGUAUGGUUCUUAAUAUGCCCUUGGCAGAUAUACCGAAUUGUGACGUUUCGUAUUGUGCCAUAUUUUUUAGGUAAAGCAUACGCCGGACUAUGUCCGGAGACCUCGCUGGUCAUGCAUCACCCAAUCCAAACCUGGACCCUGUUCCAAGUACUAGGGUUGAUACCGGUGAAAUGCCGGAUUGUCCUCUCCCUGAGCAUUCAGAUGAUGUAUCUGUUACCAACUCCGAAGUGGAGAGUGCAAUGAACCAUCGGCACCGGAGGGCGGCUAUGCAUGACCCAACUUUCACCGAAGAGGCAUUCAAUGCCUUCAGCUCAGCGGAUGCAUAUAUCCAAGCUGCUCGGGAUGGGCUCGCUGGAUCCACUCACCAGCUUUCAAAGGAUAUGCGGGUAAGAUCAUGUGUCAGUAGCCCCCGAGAUUUACAGUUGACGCAACUGAUUUAAGGAUCUUUGCAUAAUCAGGUACUCACACAGAAGAACAACAUGUUGUCCCAGGAGCUGGAAAAAUGUCAGGCCCAGCUAACUGCUGUUACUGCCGAACUGGCGAAGUCCAAGGAGGCACCAACUGGUAAUGUCCGCUACUGUCCGAAAAAUAUAAUCAUGUGCCAGCCAUUUUUUUGAAAUAAACACUGAUGUAUUUAUGAUGGCAGGAUCGCCGGAUCAGCUAGAAGAGAGACUGAAGGCCACACAGGCGGAUAAACAACAUGACGAAAGGCAAGAGGCCACUGGUCAGCAUAUACUAACGCGGACCAGGGAUGAGAAAAACAAGCUGCAAGAUGCCAGCAUCAAGUAGGCAGAGGAGCUGAAGGACAUACGAGUCCAACUGGCGGAUGCCUUGAAAGAGAACAGAAAGCUGAAAGGCGGCAUAUUUAGUAUGCUUUUUAACCUUACUUCCAUAUAGUCCCCUAAUGGGAAGUUCUAACAAGUUUAUUUCUGUAGGUGUGCUGAUUGGGUGGCCCAAAGGAGAGGUGUCCGGAUUUCAAGGCAAUUUGCUACAAGAGCUGUUCAAAGUGCAUGAGCGAGCCCGAAAGGCAAUGCAGAACAUUGCUAAAGGUUUAUGGCCGGCCAAUUAUCCUCCAGGAAGUAUGGAGGAACUCGUGAAUUUAUUCAAGGGAGCUCGUCGCUACUUUGGACUAUGGAAGAUAGCAGCAUGCCGAGAAGCCGCACGAGAGGCCUAGGCCAUGGUGAAAACAUGGUACACCGGACUUGAUCCAAAUCAUAUGGCCUGUGUCAGGCCUUGGGGACCAGAUGGAUAGGAAAUUCCUGCUAGCUUAGUAUAUGACCAAGUAAAGAUAGCCGCCAAGUUUUCGUAACAGGAUUGUAAGCUAGACAACUUAUUAGAUGGUAUAGAGGAGGAGGAAGUUUUCGAGUCCAAGUAGUAAUGUACUUUUAUCGACAAAUGUAUCUCCAGCCGAAUUAUAAAACGAUUGUCAUGGCAGACUGUUGGGGAUAUUACUACUGGAGGUAAACCGGCCUUAUGUAGCCGGGUUAACUCCUUGAAGAUUAGAAGCCCAUGAAGAUGCAAGGAUGAUGGCGCUUUACGAAGGCCCAAGGCCUAAACGCGGGUUAAAGCCUGUAAAUGUAAACCGACCUAGUCAUGUAACUUGUAUUAUAAGAUAGGAAGGAUAGAGACCAAACCGGACACGUUUAUGAUCCGGCUCAGGGACUCUGUAGCCCGGCGGGCGUCAACCUAUGUAUAUAAAGGGACGACCCGGCAGCGGUUUAGGGACAGACAACAACUCGAGAGCCAGACAAAGCGGAUUCGCUCCCUGGCCUUCGAAACCCUAGAAAUACCAAUCACAACUAGACGUAGGCUUUUACCUUCCUUGAAGGGGCCGAACUAGUAUAAAAUCCCCGUGUCCCCUUGCCCGGUUUAACUCCUUUGGGCUAACCCGUAGCGUUGUCUCCACGACUAAGUCCUUUCACAAGGACAUCUGCCGUGACAAACCCACGACAGUUGGCGCCCACCAUGGGGCUAUCGCACGAUGGUUUUGAGUUCUUGAAGGGAAGCUUUGAUGGACUUAAGGGAUACACUGUUGGCCGGAUGACGAAGAGUCGACGCGGCAAGCUCUACAUCAACAAUGCAGGAUGGGGUCCCGAGGCCGAUUCAAUCGAGUAUGGGUACCGGGUCCCCUUCGGUGGGAUUGACGUCUUCAUCGGCAAGAUUGGCGAACCGACCCCUAAGCCAGACAUCUCCACUGACAUCAUCGAAACGGCUCGACGUGCCAGUUCUUCGCCGGUUCAGCCCGUGGCAAGGCAUGUUUUCGUAGGUGUCAUCCAUGGAUCGAGUUACAAGGACGGGCCAGUGUCCGAUGGAGAGACCAUUGUCUGUUCUGAUGACGAGUCUUCUGGAGAGACCGAAUCGCUUUAUCAGUUGCAGGACGGCCGGAUUGAUGGAGGAUCCGAGGGCAACAGUAUUCUGGAUUCCCCUGAUCUGCCAAACCGGGCUGCCAUCUUCAUGGCCGGCACACAAUCAGCGCCUCAUUCAUCAACCGCCGCAGCAAUACUCUCUGGUUCAACAACGGCCACACCGGCAGGGGCACGAAGCUCUGCGCCGCCUCCAGCCCAAGUCCUGUCGGAUUUGUUCAAUGCUUUGGCAACGUUGAUGGCAGCAGAGGUGGAUGCAGCAGCCAGGGAUCAGCACAAUGCGGAGAUUGCAAAGGUGAAAGAUCAGAUAGCUCAGGCUAAAGCGGACCUGGCGACAGAGAACACUAGGAUGGCUACAGAACGGGCUGAAUUGGAAGCACAGGCCUACCGGAUUAGGCUGGAUCAGAAUGCUUCAGAGGAAGUCAUGAGAAGAAGGUACCGAUCGCGUCUCCCAUCGGUUUAUGAGCCACAGAAUCUCUUCAACACACCAGGAGCAGGAGCUGGUAACCAACCCAUACUAAACCGGGCGGAGGCACCAGGAACAGGAGUGCCGGUUCAACUGCGCACGAUGGACCCGCCUCGCCAGAACAACAUUGUGCCACAGUACGUACCAACACCUCCCAGGCAUUAUUCCAACCUGUUGGACAAUAUUGUGGCUGCCGCUUCAUGCCUGGAAGCCCUCCCAACCGACGGCGAGUCACCGGUUGCGGUUGAAGCACGUCGGGCUAGGGAUCUCCUUCAAACAGCGCUAAACCAACAAUAGACAUAUUCACACAGUCGUGAAAGGAUUCAUUCCACUCCCCGUCCAAGCCGGAGCUAUAGUAGACACGUUGAGGACGAACCGGCUGUGUCCAGCAGUGCGCGUCGCCGAAAUUCACCAUGAGGAAACAACCCGACAGGGGGAGGUGCCAAUGCGCAGGAUGUUGUGGACCAUGGCCGCGCGCGUCAGGAGGCCGAGUUAGCAGCUCGACACGGAGCACGACAACAUACUCCAGUUCACCCUACUGCUUCAGUAGAGCCAGGUGUGGUGUUCAGUUCCUUAGGGGGGCUGUGUCUCACCCCCGCUUUGCGUAAUGUGAGACUGCCCAAGGACUUCAAGGGACCUCGCAAGGUACCAAAUUACACCGCCGAUUUGCAACCAGAGGCAUGGGUGGAAAGCUAUGAGAUGGCAAUGGAGAUGUUAGAUGUAGGUGAGGAAGUGUGUGCUAAAUAUUCCACCAUGAUGUUGGAAGGAACAACUCGUACUUGGUUGAAGAGCUUACCAACCAACUCUGUCGGAUCAUGGACUGAAUUGAAGCACCGGUUUAUCCAGAACUUCAAAGAUACUUGUAAGCAGCCAAUGUCAAUCGUGGAUCUGGCCGCUUGUGUCCAAGAGGAAGGGGAGGCCACGACCCAUUGGUUCAAACAGGUCUCAGCGAUUUUGCCUUCAUCAGAUCAUAUCAACGCAGACACCGCAGUGUUAACAUUAGAGGGCAAUUGCCAUUUCCUGCCACUCAAACAGAAAUUAGGAAGGCUCAAACGUCACUGCAACGAUAUGUCAACGCUCAUGGCCGCUUUGGUUAAGUACGCCGAUUUAGAUAACACCAAGGACCCGGAUUCAGAGGAGGACAAACCGGGGAAAGGGAAAAAGAACGGCAACGCCAAGGGUCAGCGACAUAAUCCGGCAAGCCAUGGGAACAACGGUAAGCGCAAGGCCGACAACAGCUUGGUCUUUGUUGCUAACACCAAUGCUCAGGAGAAUGGCGAGCGCCGCAAGGGCAAGCAGCCCCAAAGGGGUGGAGGUUCAGGCCCCAAUUUGGAGCGCCUGUUAAAUCAGCCCUGUCCAAAGCAUGGAUCAAAGGAGAAGCCAACAUCGCAUCUUUGGAAGGACUGUUAUAUCAUGCGGGAUUUCAAGAAUUCCAAUAAGUUCCAGUAUGGUAAUGGACCGCCCGGCGGUUCAGGAGGUGGUUUCCACGGGCCGGGUUACGGAGGUGGUGGUUCCGGUUCAGGGUUUCAAGGCAACCAAACCGGACACAUCAAUCAAGGGCACCAAGGCAACCAGGGAGGCUACAACCAUCAGAGGAAUCAGCAGCAACAGCAGCAGUCGGUUACCAGAGCAAUCCCAAGCAGCUAAACAGCGGGCAAUACCAUGUUUUCACUACUAGUUUGUGUAAACGUGAUCAAAAACUUCACAAAAGGGCGGUAAACUCUGUUGAACCAGCAGUGCCUCAGUAUUUACGCUGGUCUGAGCAACCCAUUUUAUGGAGUAGAGAGGAUCACCCACCCCUGGUUGAUAAUCCGGGUCACAUGGCCUUGGUGGUAGCCCCGCAAGUCGGGGGAUACAAGUUUACUAAAGCACUCAUGGAUGGCGGAAGCAGUAUCAACAUUCUGUAUUAUGACACAUUCCGCUGUAUGGGGUUGACAGAUAAGAAUCUUAAACCAUCAAAUACCGUUUUUCAUGGUGUGGUGCCUGGUAAGCCUGCAUAUCCUGUUGGCAAGAUAGCCUUAGAGGUGGAUUUUCGAUAUGAUUAUGAUUCAAGGUCAGAAACAUUAACAUUUGAGGUGGUAAAAAUCAAAAGUCCAUACCACGCCUUGUUUGGGCGGCCGACUUAUGCUAAAUUCAUGGCAAGGCCAUGUUAUGUUUAUUUACAUCUUAAAAUGACCGGUCAUAAGGGGACUAUCAUAGUACAUGGAAGCAGAAAGAUCGCUUUGGAAUGUGAGGAAGGUGAUGCAGCUUAUGCUGAGUCGAUUUGUGCCACGGAGGAGCUGAAAUUCUAUAAGGAGCAAGUUGAUCCGACAGAUAUGACUUCUUUGAAAAAGCCAACUACGGAACACGAUCCGGCAUUGAAGUUUAAAUCAGCCACAGAUACUAAGAUGGUUGACUUUGUUCCUGGCGAUUCAUCCGAACAGUUCAGCAUCAACGCUAACCUAGAUCCCAAAUAGGAAAGCGCGCUCAUCGAGUUCAUCCGUGAGAAUCGGGACAUCUUUGCAUGGAAACCUUCUGACAUGCCAGGUGUACCGAGGGAACUCGCUGAGCACACACUUAACAUUGAUCCUAAGUUUAAACCGGUCCGGCAGUUUCUCCAUCGCUUCAAUGAAGAAAGGCGUAAGGCUAUUGGUGAAGAGGUAGCCCAUUUGUUGGCCGCAGGGUUUAUUGUAAAGGUCUUUCAUCCAGAGUGGUUGGCUAAUCCGGUGCUGGUUCUUAAGAAAAACGGCACUUGGCGUAUGUGUGUGGAUUACACAGAUUUAAACAAAGCUUGUCCUACAGACCCCUUUGCUCUCCCUCGCAUAGAUCAGAUAAUUGAUGCAAUGGCAGGUUGUGACCGUUUGUGUUUUCUGGAUGCGUAUUCUGGUUAUCAUCAGAUCAAGAUGGCAGUUAAGGACCAGGAGAAGACAUCUUUCAUAACUCCCUUUGGAGCCUUCUGCUCUGUUUCCAUGCCUUUUGGACUCAAGAGUGCCCAGGCAACUUACCAGCGAUGUGUUUAGAAUUGCCUUCAUAAGCAAAUUGGGCGCAAUGUUCAUGCAUAUGUGGAUGACAUUGUGGUAAAGUCCAGAAAGGAGGAGACAUUGAUAGAUGAUUUGAGAGAAACCUUUGACAAUCUCCGGGUUUACAAGAUGAUGCUCAAUCCAGAAAAGUGUGUCUUUGGUGUCCAGGCAGGCAAGCUCUUGGGUUUUCUGGUGUCAAACAGAGGCAUUGAGGCUAAUCCGGAAAAGAUUCCAGCAAUUACAUCCUUAGCUAAACCGGCGUGUAUCAACAAUGUUCAACGUCUGGCUGGACGGAUCACAACCUUGAGCCGGUUUAUCAGUCGCCUUGGAGAGAAGGCUAUCCCUUUAUAUCAGAUGCUCAAGAAAACAGAUAACUUUGUCUGGAGCGAGGCAGCUGAUAAAGCGUUCGAGGAUCUGAAGAGGCAGCUAGCUGAACCGCCCGUGCUUGCAGCGCCGAUCGAUAAAGAGCCGUUAUUACUAUAUGUGGCUGCUAAUGCCCGGGCCGUUAGCGUAGCCAUUGUGGUAGAGCGCAAGGAGCUUGGCAAGGAAUAUUUGGUUCAACGUCCGAUUUAUUAUAUCGGCGAGGUGCUCAUUGAGUCAAAGCAGAGGUAUCCGCAUUGGCAGAAGCUGGUGUAUGGAGUGUUUAUGGCAAGCCGGAAGCUUAAACAUUAUUUUCAGGGCCAUCCUAUCACAGUGGCCAGUUCAGCUCCUCUGGGCGAUAUCAUUCAAAACAGAGAAGCAACUAGCUGGAUUUCCAAGUGGGCUAUUGAGCUUGGACCUCAUGGGCUCAAAUAUAUACCCCGCACAGCGAUCAAAUCCCAGGCACUCGUGGACUUCAUCAAUGAUUGGACAGAGUUAUAGGCACCUGAAGAGAAACCAGAUAAUACAUAUUGGACUAUUCAUUUUGAUGGGUCCAGACAGUUGGAGGGCUCGGGGGCUGGAGUCAUACUAACUUCCCCACGAGGUGACAAGUUUUGUUAUGUCCUCCAUUUAUUGUUCCCUUGUACUAACAAUGCAGCUGAAUAUGAGGCUUUGCUCCACGGUCUUCGGAUGGCUAAGGAGAUGAAUUUGAGCCGGGUUAAGUGCUUUGGCAAUUCAGAUCUAGUGGCUCAGCAGGUGUCUGGCACUUGGGAUUCUAAGGACCCACUCAUGGCUACAUAUCGGCGAGAGGUGGACACAGUGGCUGGUCACUUUAAGGGCUAUCAGGUGGACCAUAUAGACCGGCGGAAGAAUGAAGCGGUGGACGCUUUAAGUCGUCUUGGCUCCUAGCGUAAACCGGUCCCACCCAAUGUCUUUCUUGAUGUAUUGCAUAAUCCGUCAGUCAAGGUGCCAACCGAAGAAGAUUUGGCUAUUCCUGAUCCGGAGGCUCAGUUGGUGGCAGCUCUGCAUGCCAUACCGGAUUGGACAAUCCCAUAUCUGGCUUACAUGAACCGGGGCGAGUCACCAGACGAUGAAACGUUGGCCCGACAGAUAAUCCGGCGUUCCAAGUCCAUGACCAUAGUCAACGGGGAGUUACAUCGCUACAGCGUUUCAGGAGUAAUUCAGCGUUGUGUUUCUCCUCAAGAAGGUUGUGAGAUUUUGCGAGAAAUCCAUGAAGGGGACUGCGGUCACCACGCUGGUUCAAAAUCUUUGGUUGCUAAAGCUUUUCACCACGGUUUUUACUGGUUGACGGCACAUGCUGAUGCGGAAGAUUUGGUCAAGAGAUGUGACGGAUGUCAAAAAUUCGCCCGCCGUGCGCACGUUCCGGCUCAAGAGUUGCGGAUGAUUCCAAUUACGUGGCCGUUUGCAACUUGGGGGCUUGAUAUGGUUGGACCCUUCAAGCAUUCCAAGGACAAAAAGACCCACCUGUUAGUAGCAGUUGAUAAAUUCACCAAAUGGGUGGAGGCAGAGCCAGUCAGCAAGUGUGAUGCAGCCACGACGGUUCAAUUCAUCAAAAAGGUGAUAUACCGGUUUGGUUUUCCACACAGCAUUAUAACAGAUAAUGGUACUAAUCUUUCAAAGGGGGAGAUGGAAGAAUUUUGUCAACGUGAGCACAUCCGGCUCGAUCUAGCGUCGGUGGCUCACCCCCAGUCUAAUGGUCAAGAAGAGAGGGAAAAUCAAGAAAUUCUAUGAGGUAUCAAACCCAGGCUUAUGGUUCCCUUAAAGCGGACACCAGGUUGUUUGGUUGAGGAGCUACCUUCUGUGUUAUGGAGCAUCAACACCACACCCAAUAGGUCUACGGGCUACACACCUUUUUUCAUGGUCUAUGGAGCAGAGGUCGUUCUUCCUAGUGACAUCCGUCACGACUCGCCCCGUGUGACAGCUUAUGUUGAAGCUGAUAAUGAGAACGCACGUCAGGAUUCUCUGGACCUGUUGGAUGAAGAGUGUGAUCUUGUAGCAGCACGAUCGGCGAUUUAUCAACAAGAUCUCCGAUGUUAUCAUAGCCACCGGGUUAAAACCAGAAGCUGCCAAGAAGGCGAUUUGGUGCUCCGGCUCAUCCAGGAUCAGACUGAUAUGCACAAGCUAUCCCCACCUUGGGAAGGACCCUUUGUCGUCAGCAAAAAUCAGCACAACGGGUCUUACUACCUCAUUGAUGUUUGAGAGCAUAAAGACUCACGUCAAUCGGAGGAGGAGACCAAGCGGCCGUGGAACAUGGCUCUCCUUCGGCCUUACUAUACUUGAAGCCGUCUUCAUCUCUACAUAUUUAUGACACUGUAUAUAUCAUAUAAUAAACCGGAGCCUCCGUUAUAAGCGGGGUAUCUGUUCUUUUUACAUCCUAUGUGUGUUAUACGAGUUUACUGACAAUGCGGAGUUUUUAUUAAUCCGGUCUUAGUAGUUGCAUGGAUGUAAAGAAAAUCACUAGGGGGCUUGGUCAUAUUUGAACUACAGCUACACCUCUUGAUCGGUUUUGAAACCACGAAGGGACAUCACUAGGGGGCUUGGUUGUUACCAGACCAUAGCUACACCUCUUGAUAGGCAUUUAGGCCACAAAAGAAAAAUAUGUGGAGCCAAAGAGAGUGUUGCACAAAGCACAGACUCAAACAUGUGCACACACUGAGCACAACUCACGAAGUUACUUGGGUGCUCUUUUUGCAAAGCAACAACGAGUUUGAAAGGACCCUUGUAAUUGGAUAUCAAGCCACGACUUGGAAGCCUGGUGUAUUCACCUAAAAACCCGGGUUAACCUGCCUUCAUCAAGUAAGCCACUCCUGUCCAGGUAAUCCUAGUAUGACCCAUCGAACGUUUGACAUGUCAAUCUUUUAUAGACCCUGAACUUGUCAAAGUUAAAAUGAUGAUUGGUUAAUUGGAGGUCCAUCUCAAAAGUCUUUGUUAAAUGGUUUAACUCAGAGGCCUAGAAGCCCAUGAAAAGCCUCGAUUUGGAGCCUGGCAGCUCGUAAAAAGCCUUGCAUACUUUCCUUUUUGAGUUUUAUUUGUUGAAGUUCAUAAGUAUUUUUUGAUAAACCGGCGUCCUUGACCCGGCUUGCUUUUUCAACUACAAGUUGUUGGCACAUCAUCAAUUAUAAACCGGUGUUUAUUAACCCGGUCUGGUUUGAGUAAAUCACUAGUGUUAUAAAGAAAACCCGGUAGUUAUCCCGGUCCGGUUUAAUAUAUAGACCGAUAUUACAGAGAUGGGGUUAUCAACGUUCCGGAUUGGUAUUAACACAUUUUCCGUAUAUACCGUUGGUCAACCAAUGAGGUAUGUUAUGUAUAUUGCUUUUUGUACAAACAUUUCGAUUAUUUCAUCUAUGUUUUGUACACUUCCUGGACAUAAUGACUCGUCUAGCGGUAAACCGCUAGACACUUUUAAGUUGUUGAACCCAGGAACAAAUUCAUCAUGGGUUAUGCAUAAAUAUAUCCCAAAAGGUGGCACAAGUUGUCAUGAGGCAUUACAAAAUAUGCUUGAUGGCAUGGCAAAUAACAGAGUUUUGGCUAUCCUAUUACAAGAAGCUUUCAAAGCGGCUCCAAUGGGAUAAUUGUUUUUCACAAGAUCGGCGCACGGUGGCUAGUAAACCGGCGACCUGCUUAGGAUGCUUCGUCUGGAUGGUUUGAUGUUUGAGGGUCAGUUGGUGUGGGCACUUCUUCAUCCCUCCCUAGACGCUGGAAAUCAACCGUCGACCAAUCGAUUCCAGUUAAAGCUUGAAAUAUUGCUUCCUCAUGGAUAAGAUUGGAGGGGUUAAUAUCAGGAGCAUAAGUGUGCUUAGGAAUCAGAGGCACAAGUUCUUCAACUUCAUGGAUGUCGGCCGGCUGUCUUUUCCCUUUAGCGUCAUAAACCGGUUGAAAAUGGGACAAGUCUGUAUCAUCGGCCAGUUUGCUGGUUACUGGCCACAUCUGUUUGGUCAGCUGCCGGAGGUCAUCAUUAUCAAAGUUUGAACCGUCUUCCUUCACACCUGGGUAUCCUUUAAUGACAUCCUCCGCUUCAAGAUCUGGAAUCCAGGCUUUGGCUCGAAUAAGUGCUGUUAAAGCUCCUGACCUGCCAGCUGCUUUCUUCAAUUCAGCAAUACGGGCUGGUAACAUGGCCAACUUCUCAAGUGUUUCUUUAAUCAAAGUUGGGGCCGGUUUGUUGUAAGCUGUUGUGCAAAUAGCUCGCUGAGACCCAGAGUACAACUGUUCAACCAAGGUAUAUGCCGCUUUGAGCUUCAUCCGCAUGUCUGUCCCAAGAUGAGCUAUCCGAGUACCUGCCAAAUAUUUUUAUCAAUGUGCUGGUCAGUGAUACGGUUCAUUGACUUACGCAAAACAUAUAAGCAGAAACUUACCAAAAAUAGUAGAAGUCAUAGCAUUGAUUUGCCGUUCAAACCAGCUAGUUCAUCUGCAACUAGUUUCAGGGCUGCCUCGGCGUCUUCAGCUCUUUUGGUUAAACCGGAAUUUUCGUUUCCCAGUUACCCCAAUCAUUGUUGAAAGAUUCCUUUAGUCUCUCCAUUGCGGCCAGGGCUUGAGUCAGCUCCUCUUUGGCUUUUGCAGCCUCUGCUUGUUGUGACUUUACAUUCUCUUGCAAGUCAGAGUUUCAGGCAUCUUUGCGUCUCAGUUCACCUGCAAUAUUGAAGGUCUAUUAAGCAACAUGUUAUAUAUGUUCUAAGUACAAAGCGUAUAACAAGUUAUGCACUUCAUACUUGGGGGCUAAUGCCUAUUUGCUCUAAAGUGCUACAUUGUAUACAAGUCUCCAGAACAAUGCAAGCAUUAUCCUGGACACUUGGGGGCUAAUGUGUGUCUGUUCUAAAAUGGAUGUAUGGAUUAAAAUCCGGAUUAACUUGCCAAGUUAAAUCGGCCUUUGGGGGCUAUGCUGCAGAAAGUUAUUUAAUUGUUAAAAGAUGAGUCUUGUCUCUUCUUAGAGACCUCCCAUUUGUGAGGAUCAAUGAUAAGAAACUUAAACUGUUACAAAGACCCGAUUUAUGAUUAACAUCAUAAAGCGGCCCUUGUGGGCUACUUGGAAUAGUGUUUCGGCUAUAAAUCAAUAAACAAAGGGAGAGGAAUUUACCUCAUAUCGCUCUUUCAUCAAGUUCACCAAACCGGCCCCAUAGUCCUGGUCUGAGUGCAGACGGUUCAAGAAGCCAGAGUGAAGCUCUUCAGUGUUAAGAUGAGCAUAGCUUGAUAAAUCGCUGCUCCAUUUGCCUUUUUCCCUAGCAGCUUGCUCUUCUUUGGCACUAUGUUGAGCCAAGAUAACGGGAUGGCCAUGAGAGCUAUGGUCCAUUCCAGUAAUGAUAACAUCGUCUCCUUGACCUUCAGUAUGUUUGGCUCGUGACAAUAGAGUAUCAGCAUUUCUCACCGGACUAGCCCGGUUUGGUUCUGCCGGUUCAAUGUCAGGUGCUGCAGGUUCAGCGUCAGCUGGUUCAUUGGUAUUUUGGCCUUGAAGGGGCGGUUCGCCAGAGGCGGCUUCAGGAUGAAGGCCCUCCGGUUCACCUCUGAGUUCUUCUUCAAAAGUGGCCGGGUCUUCGGGCGGAUUGGUGACCCGAGCUUUCUUGUUGGGUCUGACUUUGGCCCUGCAAACAAAAACACAAAAGGAUUAAUAUCUUAUUCAAGUUCUAUGAUGCAUUGAAGGAAAAGGUGUUACAACUUACCCGGCCACAGUUUUCAGAGGAGGGAGUUAAGUUGCUGUCGACUCGCCAGAUGAUGAGGGAGGUGUCACCUGAUAAUUUGAAUCGGACGGAUUAAGAGGUUGUCUGAAAUAAUCUGCCUUGGGGUAAGAAUGGUUAGAAGUAGGAGAGACCUUAGGCCGGCGCUUUCGAACCGGGGUAUCAGGUAAACCGGCUGAAGUGACCUGUUGGCCACUGUGUCGGGUUGUCCGGCGAGCUUCAUGUUGCUGAGUCUUCAAAAUAAAUGUUGGAUCCAAGUGAGCAAGAGCAUGAGAAAAGCUUACUUUCCGGACUACUUGGCGGGUUUUUUGUGUUGGCAUAGAGUCUGAACCGGAGGAAAGGGAAAUUACCUCUACAUCAUCAGCUUGACUGCGUUCUACGUUCUCCUGAGGAAUAUCAAUGUUAAUGAGAUGCAUGAAAAGACAGCCAAGUGAGUCAAGUUCUACCUCAACUUCCAUCAUCAGUGUCGUCAUCAAGCUCCAUGUUGAUCCGGUCAGCCAUUUUCUGUUUUGACGUUAGUUUGACGGCUUUGGUUUUGGGGCAAGAUGGUUUGACCGCUUUGUCCCGAGUUGGCUUUACCGCUUUUUCUACGGUUUUUUGUUUCGAGAAGGGGUUAUCACCCUAUACAUACAUACACAGAAGAAGGAUUACAGGUUGCACGAGAUAAAAAUAUUAGAGAUGAAAAGGAAGUACAAUGCUUACAACAGGCGGUUUGUUCUUGGCAUAGAAGGGACUCAAACCGGUUUGACUACAGACCAACUCCGAUUCAUUCAAAAUAUAUUUUACGCCUUCAGUAACUUCUUCCUCGUAGACUUGAAGGUUGCAAUGGCGUUGAGGAUCGUCAAACUGGGACGCCAGCUUAGAGGCAAGAUGCUCCAAGAUACCCAACAACACAGGAAAUCCACACCUGUUAGACCAUUGGCCAUAAAGGCCCAGAGUUUGGUGAGUUGAUGGGCAUAUUUCGCCCUUUCGGCAAAGCUCAAGCGUUGCAGCAUUGGAUGAGUAUUGGGGAUUUUUGUCUUCAGGAGAAGUAUCUCUGCAAUAAAACCAAGUUUGGUUCCAUUCCUUUGGGUGGCUGUGAUGUUUGGCAUGAGGAAACUCAACUUCUUUCCUCUUUUGAAUCGAGACACCACCAAGUUCUGUGUUCGGGCCAUUUACAAACUCUGUGCGCCGGUUUAAGUGAAAGAAAUCUUGGAACAGUUCUGCAGUUGGUUCUUCCUAUAGGUAUGCUUCACAGAAGACCUGGAAGUUGCAUAGGUUGGAUACUGAAUUUGGCCCAAUAUCUUGGGGAUGGAGUUGGAAAUUGGCAAGCACAUCCCGGUAAAACUUUGAUCCUGGCGGUUUGAAGCCACGGCUUAUGUGGUCGACAAAGACCACCACCUCACCCUGCCUUGGGGUUAGAGGAUUUUCUGUUCCUAGAACUCGCCAUUUAAUUUCAGUUUUCUUACGCAAGGAGCCGAUGCUAACCAUCUCAUUCAGCUGAGUUUCAGUAACCCAGGAACGAGCCCAGUUGCAAGUAGUGAAUUGUUUGGCCAUUGUGAAACAAACAAGCUGAAAAUGAAAGGCCGGUUUAUAAGUCGCGCAUGAUGAUAUGCAAGAUACAAUGGAGUAAGAAAUGUACUGAUAUGCGAAAUGGCAUAAAUCGGAGACCAAUGCAAUAAGGGAAAAAAGGUAAUACCAGGACAGGGGUACUCAGACACUGUUAAACCAGAGUAUAACUAUGAAGGUAAAGGGCUCCUCCGGUUUAUGAGAGGGAUAAUGGUAUAGAUUGAUUCUGCAAAGUUAAACCUCCUAGGUUGGCGUGAGGAGAAACAGAUUUCACAGAGACAUAUGAAAAUUUCAGAUCUAUGGUAAGACAGAGAAGAAAAAAAUUGACCUAAAAAGGGGGUAAGACCCGAAACAGUUUUAUGAAGGACUACAUCAGCUUUUGCGCAUAAGGAUCUAUGGCGGAAACAACCACGGCAAGGGAUACGAUAGGUGCGAAGCAUUCAUCUACAGGACAAGGAAGAACAGCACCAAAAGCUCCGAUGAACUUCAAGAACCGCGAAGAACAGAGAAACCCUAAUGGAUCUAGAAAGGAAGGGGGAAGGACUUACUGCGGCCGCGGAAGCAGCGGAGGUGUGCUGCGGAACUCUGGUGCGAACAGGUCGAUGCAGCGGCCGACGGUGAAGCAGAGGCGAGGCUUGGCGAUGACGGCGGCGCUCAGGUCCGAAGACGUCGCGAGGAAGAAGAAGGGAGGAAAGGAGAGCGGAAAGAAAAUAAAGGGGUCCUCUGCCCCUAUUUAUAAGCUGAAGCGAUGAAACGGCAAGUGCGGGAAUCAAGGAGCCCAAAAUGGAUAAGUUAAUAAGGGUGUCGCCUCGGUGAUUGAAUACACAUUAAAUGAAGGUAAUCUUCGACUUCAACAGAUGGAUGGCGUCAGGGCGGUUUAUCAUAAUCUUGAAGUAUGACGUCACGAUGGUUUACAAGAUCAAGGUGAAGAUAUGAGGGAGGAAUUUUUCUAAGUGUAGAAGAUUGACAUGAACAAGUUCAAACCAAUAUGGGGCCUAAUGUUGGGGAUAUUACUACCGGAGGUAAACCGGCCUUAUGUAACCGGGUUAACUCCUUGAAGAUUAGAAGCCCAUGAAGAUGUAAGGAUGAUGGCGCUUUACGAAGGCCCAAGGCCCAAAGGCGGGUUAAAGCCUGUAAAUGUAAACUGACCUAGUCGUGUAACUUGUACUAUAAGAUAGGAAGGAUAGAGACCGAACCGGACACGUUUAUGAUCCAGCUCAGGGAAUCUGUAGCCCGGCGGGCGUCAACCUAUGUAUAUAAAGGGACGACCCGGCAGCGGUUUAGGCACAGACAACAACUCGAGAGCCAGACAAAGCGGAUUCGCUCCCUGGCCUUCGAAACCCUAGCAAUACCAAUCACAACUAGACGUAGGCUUUUACCUUCCUUGAAGGAGCCGAACUAGUAUAAAAUCCCCGUGUCCCCUUGCCCGGUUUAACCCCUUUGAGCUAACCCGUAGCGAUGGCUCUACGACUAAGUCCUUUCACAAGGACAUCUGCCGUGACAAACCCACGACACAGACCUUCCGCUUUAUCCUUCAAAAUCCAAAGACUGGAGUGUUUCCGAAUGCUGUAUCGGUGGUAAACACCGAAGUAUGUUCGGAAACCAGGCAGUCCGGUCAUAGUUGCUUGAGCAGACAAGUUGUAUUCCGGGAGUUAUGUUAUAUUACAUUUGAUCGUAAGAAACAUCUUCUAGAGAGAAUAGUUCCGUUAAGGGUUCCUCUCCCUGGGCCAGCAUGCGUUGUUGUGCAUGCCUGAGCUGUGAUGCUAAAAAUCACAGUACACGUUUUAUUUUGGGGGCUUGUAUCGCAACGAGGGCAGUUCAUCUUUUGUCCGCAGACCUAUUAUUCCCUUAGGAACGCUAGCUUUCGGCUUCACCAGUCUAAGGUACAUGUCCGGAUAACCCGGAUGUAACAAUCACAGAGGUGCUCCCUUUAUUUCAUAGCCAAACAAACGGGAACGUAGGACAUAAGCACAGGAGCCAGGCAACCCAGCUUCGCAAAAAUUUAAGUCAUAAAGGUGCAUAUAAUGGCGAAGAAAAGACAUAUAUGAGAAGACGACACAUAUAUACGACGAGCUUGAUGCUCGAUAAAUAAUAAUAAGCUUUUGUGACUAGAAGCCCCCAAGUAUUGGGGGAUGUACAUUUAAGGAUGUGUACCCCUUAAGUGUGCGGUUUAUCCAAACAUGGGCUAGAAGUCGUAUAAAAACGAAAAGAAGAAAGAGAGAAAAGAUAAAAAAGGUAACAAACAAUGAGUCCGGAAUUAGGCGUAGAAUCUUUGGAGUCUGGCAGCGUUCCAUGGGUUCGGCUCUAGGCGAUUGUCCGAUGCAUUACAAAGGCGAUAUGCUCCUCUAGUGAGAACUUCAUCUAUAAUGAAGGGACCCUACCAUUUGGGCAUGAGCUUGUCCUUUUUAUUCUCUGGUAGGCGUAGAACGAGUUCACCAAUAUUAUAAGUCUUGGCUCGCACUUCCCUGCUUUGGUACCUUCGAGCUUGUUGUUGGUAGAAUGCUGAACGAGCUUUUACGACAUCGUGCUCCUCCUCCAGGACAUCUAAGUCAUCUUGUCGAUCGAGCUCGGCCUCUCUCUUUCUUUCUCUUUGUACAUGCGUACUCAAGGUGGGUUGGAAUAAUAUCACAGGGCAAGACGGCCUCUGUGCCGUACACCAUAAAGAACGGUAUGCAUCCGGUCGUGCGAUUGGGCGUGGUCCGCAGCCCCCUGAGUACGGAGUCGAGCUCCUCAACCCAGUUUUUAUCUGACUCCUUUAAGGAUCGCACUAGUCUGGGUUUAAUGCCACUCAUUACCAGGCCAUUAUCCCAUUCGACUUGACCAUUUUUUGAGGGUGAUAGACGGAGGCAUAAUUGAGCUUGAUGCCCAGAUUAGCACACCAAGUUUUUACCUCAUUGGUUGUGAAGUCGUUAUCGGUAAUGAUGUUGUGUGGGACACCAUAACAGUGUACGACACCGGAUAUGAAAUCUAUCACUCGUCCGACUUCGGCCGUUUUAACUUGUUUGGCCUCUAUCCACUUAGUGAAUUUAUCUACCAUGACCAACAGGUAUUUUUUCGUAUGGCUUCCCCCUUUAAGGGGUCCGACAAUGUCAAGCCCCUAGUCCGCAAAAUGCCAAGUAUGGGGAUUGUCUGUAGGGCGGUAGGCGGCAUAUGGCUUUGAUUGGCGAAAAGUUGGCAUCCUACGCAACGUUGGAUGAGGUCUUGUGCAUCCGCUCGGGCCGUAGGCCAGAAAAAGCCGGUACGGAAGGCCUUACUUACAAGGGCCCGAGCUGCGGUGUGAUGGCCGCCAAGACCAGCAUGGAUUUCAUCCAAGAGCUGCCGCCCCUCUUCUUCGGAGAUACAUCUUUGAAGGACUCCGAUAGUACUUUUCUUGUAGAGCUCUCCUUCAUGAACCUUGUAGGCUUUCGAGCGUCGAACGACACAACGGGCCUCAUUCUGGUCCUCAGGGAGCUCUCAUCUAUUAAGGUAGGCCAGGAAGGGUUCGGUCCAUGGGGCGAUUACUGCCAUAAUUACAUGGGCCAAUGGUGUUAUUUCGGUGCCGAGCCCUGAUGAUAUCGGAAUUGUGUUCGGAAUCUGGGGGUAUGAUCGGCUCCGGACUGGUGUUGCUGCUCUCGUGCUGCCAUACCACAGAUGGCUUGAAGAGCCUCUCCACAAAGGUAUUGGGUGGGACGGGGUCGCGCUUAGCACCCAUGCGAGCAAGGAUGUCCGCUACUUGAUUACUCUCCCGGGCACACGAUGAAACUCGAGCACCUCAAACCGAGCCGAUAUUUGAAGUACGACAUUGCAGUAGGCCGCCAUCUUUGGAUCUUUGGCAUCAAAUUCUCCGUUUAUUUGGGAUACUGCAAGGUUUGAAUCCCCGCGCACGUCGAGGCAUUGUAUGCCCAUGGAGAUAGCCAUCCGAAGACCAUGCAAUAGGGCCUCAUAUUCAGCUGCGUUAUUGGAGUCUGUAUACAGUAUUUGGAGCACAUAACGAACCGUGUCUCCUAUGGGGGAUGUCAGGACGACACCAGCCACAAGUUCGGCUAGCAUUUUAGAGUCGUCGAAGUACAUCACCCAGUUGGAAUAUGUGCCGUACUAUUUACGGAGUUCGGCCUCUGUCCAUUCGAUGACGAAGUCAGCCAAUACCUAAGAUUUAAUGGCUUGGUGUGGCUUAUAUGUUAUUUCAAACGGUAAGAGCUCAAUGGCCCAUUUGGCAAUAUGUCCGGUGGCGUCCUGGUUGUUUACGAUAUCAUUAAGUGGUACUUCGGAAGCCACCAUGAUCGAACACUCCUGAAAGUAGUGUCGUAGAUUUCGGGAUGCCAUGAAGACCGCAUACGCUAUCUUUUGAUAAUGUGGGUAUUGGGAUUUGCAUGGUGUGAGGACCAUCGAUACAUAGUAUACUGGUUUUUGAAGUGGGAAUUUAUGUCCCUCUUCUUCUCGUUCGACGACGAGGACCGCACUCACCACCUGGUGCCUUAUAGAUAUGUAUAGCAACAUGGGUUCACCGACAUUUGGCACGUCCAGGAUUGGGUUGCUUGCUAACAAAGCUUUUAUUUCUUCCAGUCCAGAUGUUGCAGCAUUUGUCCACGCAAAGUGGUCGGCGCGUCAGAGCAGGCGACACAAUGGUAGUGCCUUUUCUCCUAAUCUGGAGAUAAAGCGGCUCAAAGCUGCCACGCACCCAGCUAGUUUUUGGACCUGCUUGAGGUAUGUUGGUGUAGCCAACUGUGACAGGGCUCAGAUUUUGGCUGGGUUUGCUUCGAUUCCCCUAUUGGAAACAAUAAACCCAAGCAGUUUUCCGGCGGGAACGCCGAAAACGCACUUUUCUGUAUUGAGCCGUAUGUCAUAUCUUCGGAGGUUGUCAAAUGUAAGGCGUAAGUCGUCCACCAACGAUUCUACAUGCUUAGUUUUGAUGACUACAGCAUCUACAUAUGCCUCAGUUUUCUUGCCGAUUUGCUUUUCCAGGCACGUUUGAAUCAUGUGUUGGUAUGUGGCGCCGGUGUUUUUUAACCCGAAGGGCAUGGUGUUGAAGCAGAAGGGCCCGUAUGGGGUGAUGAAUGCCGUUGCGGCUUGGUCGGAUUCCUUCAUUUUGAUUUGAUGGUAUCUGGAGUAUGCGUGGAGGAAGCACAGUGAGUCGUGUCCUACGGUUGCAUCAAUAAUCUGGUCGAUGCGAGGUAGUGGGAAGGGAUCCUAAGGGCAGGCUUUAUUAAGGUCCUUGAAGUCGACACACAAGCACCAGGAUUUAUCCUUCUUCGACACCAUGACCAGGUUUGCUAGCCACUGAGGAUGUUUGAUCUCUCUGAUAAACACGUCUUCGAGUAGCUUGGCUAGCUCCUCCCCCAUAGCCUGUCACUUGGGUUCGGAAAAUCGCUGCAGCGUUUGCUUGACUGGUUUGUAUCCCUUUAGUAUAUUGAGACUGUGUUCGGCCAGCGCGCGUGGGAUUCCUGGCAUAUCCGAGGGGUGUCAGGCGAAGAUAUCCCAAUUCUCACGCAAGAACGCGUGCAAUGCGGCGUCGAUCAUUGGAUCCAGUUGUGCCCCAAUGGAAGCUAUUUUCUUGGGGUCCGUCGGGUGAACUUGAAAUUUGACUAUCUCGUGUGCUGGCUUGAAAGAAGUGGAUUUAGGCCUUUUAUCAAGAAUUACGUUGUCUUUAUCAACUAUGGAACGCAGAGCGGUGAGCUCCUCAGCCGCCAGGGCUUCGGACAGUGCCUCGAGGGCCAAGGAUGCAGUUUUAUUUUCGGCGCGGAGUGCUAUGUCCGGAUCACUGGCGAUAGUGAUAACUCCGUUGGCCCCGGGCAUUUUGAGCUUCAUGUACCUGUAAUGAGGUAUGGCUUGAAAGCGUGUGAACACGUCUCUCCCUAACAGGGCAUGAUAUCCGCUGUUGAAAGGGGCCACCUGGAAGAUUAGCUCUUCGGACCUAUAGUUCUCUAGCGUGCCGAAUACCACGUCGAGUUUAAUUUUCCCUGAGCCUCUUGCUUCCCGAAUGGGGAUAAUUCCUCGAAAGGUUGUAUUACUUAGCAAAUGCGACUCCUGUCCAUUUGCAUUUUAUUGAGCGUGUCUUCGUAGCAGAGGUUUAGUCCGUGGCUGCUGAGGGAGUCCUGGAUUAGGGGGUCUCCGGACAGCCGGACUAUAUCCUUUGGCCGGACUGUUGGACUAUGAAGAUACAAGAUUGAAGACUUCGUACCGUGUCCGGAUGGGAUUCUCCUUGGCGUGGAAGGCAAGCUUGGCGAUACGGAUGUGUAGAUCUCCUCCCUUGUAACCGACUUUGUGUAACCCUAGACCCCUCCGGUAUCUAUAUAAACUGGAGGGUUUAGUCCAAAGGACAACAACAAUCAUACCAUAGGCUAGCUUCUACGGUUUAGCCUCUACGAUCUCAUGGUAGAUCAACUCUUGUAAUACUCAUAUAAUCAAGCUCAAUCAAGCAGGACGUAGGGUAUUACCUCCAUCAAGAGGGCCCGAACCUGGGUAAACAUCGUGUCCCCCGCCUCCUGUUACCAUCCGCCAUAGACGCACAGUUCGGGACCCCCUAUCCGAGAUCCGCCGGUUUUCACACUGACAUUCGUGCUUUCAUUCAGAGUUCAAUUGUGUCGUCAUCAUAAGGAGGGAUUGCUCGUCUCGUUUUCAAGAACAACAUCACCUCCGGGGGAGGCCUGGCUAUAGGCCAAACUCUCCGACUAGGCGACUUCGUCAUGACCGCCCGCUCGGCCGGUGCGCCGACGAUGACUUCUCGGGUCAUUGAAAAUAGCCUCCAGAUCGGCUCGAAAUUCACCGAGCAGAUAGAUCCAAUGGAGCUCUCCUCUUUGAACGAGCUCUUGGAUCGCAUCGCCGCUCUGGGAGUCGCUACGGACUACGAUCGGAUUGGGCUUAAACCCGACCAAAGGGAGAUUAACUCUUCGCCGGUCACCCAUCAAAUAGCGGUGGUGGAGGAACAAUGCGGCGGUUCUCCCUCUAUCCUGAGGACGAACUAUGUUCAGAUUCCCGAGCUCUCCGAGCCGGAUACCCGCCCACGGGAGGACAUCGCCCUAACCCUGAACCUAGAAUCAGGCUACAUGCCGAACCUGCGGGGCAACACCCCGGUGCCCGAACUUCCAAGAUCGGAAACAACCCCGCCCCGGGGUCUCAGAUUCGGUCAAGGUAUGGACUUAAAUCCACCCUCCCCCCAGAUAUAAAUGAUCUUUCCCACAUUAGGCAAGAGCCCCAAGAAACAGUACAUCACUAUUGGGCCAGAUUCCUCCUUGUAAUGAACAAGGUCAAGGACUGUCGCGAGGAAGAAGCAAUUUCGUUCUUUUGCAACAAUUGCACGGACAAGGGAAUCCUCAACUCCAUAAGUCGCCGUGACAUAGCACACUUUGCUGACUUGGCGGCCAUAGUAUGGAAGUACUGUGCGAUGGAAAGCACAUGGAAAACCCAAACGAAAUUUUGGGAUAAUCCGGCUCUAACAAAACCCCCAGUCCGAACUAAAAGGGUGCACUCUCAUAAGUCGCCCGACUCAAUUACAAAGAAACAAAAGCCCACUAUGGGGUGUGGAACCGUAAUGGAGGGAUGGCUUAACGGACCCUGCAAAAUUCAUAGUACAACGGAUACCAUUCCAACACACAGCCUUAGAGCAUGUUGGGUACUCCGGCGGGUGGCCAAGAGCGGUGAGGAUCUCCUCAUUCAAAACACCGCCGAGCACCAUCCCAUGGAUAACAAUACAGUAUUGAAAGUUGAGGGAGUCCUGGAUUAGGGGGUCUCCGGACAGCCGGACUAUAUCCUUUGGUCGGACUGUUGGACUAUGAAGAUACGAGAUUGAAGACUCCGUCCCGUGUCCGGAUGGGACUCAACUUGGCAUGGAAGGCAAGCUAGGCAAUACGGAUAUGCAUAUCUCCUCCUUUGUAACCGGCCUUGUGUAACCCUAGCCUCCUCCGGUGUCUAUAUAAACCGGAGGGUUUUAGUCCGUAGGACAACAUACAAUCAUACCAUAGGCUAGCUUCUAGGGUUUAGCCUCUCUGAUCUCGUGGUAGGUCAACUCUUGUACCACUCAUAUUAUCAAUAAUAAUCAAGCAGGACGUAGGGUUUUACCUCCAUCAAGAGGGCCCGAACCUGGGUAAAACAUCGUGUCCCUUGCCUCCUAUUACCAUCCGCCUUAGACGCAUAGUUCGGGACCCCCUACCCGAGAUCCGCCAGUUUUUACACCGACAUUGGUGCUUUCAUUGAGAGUUCCUUUGUGUCGUCAUCGUUAGGCUUGAUGGCUCCUUCGAUCAUCGAUAGUGAUGCAGUCCAGGGUGAGACUUUUCUCCACGGACAGAUCUUUGUAUUCGGCGGCUUCGCACUGCGGGCCAACUCGCUUGGCCAUCUGGAGCAGAUCGAGAGUUAUGCCCCUGGCCACCAGGUCAGGUUUGGAAGCUUAAACUACACGGCCGACAUCCGCGGAGACUUGAUCUUCGACGGAUUCGAGCCCCUGCCGAGUGCGCCGCACGGUCACGAUGAGCACGAUUUAGCUCUACCAUCAGACAGUGUUCAGGCGACCGCACCGGCAACCGCUCUGACCCUCAAUUCGAAGCCAAUUGCGCCAUCCAUGGACGGGUGGAUAGACCCCGCCACGGAGGCCGUAUUCUCAGCAGCGAUCGACCCGAGUAUCGACCUUACCCUUCACGGGAGUCGUCACGCCAAACUACCGGAUUCUUCCCCAACCACGGACUCUGAACCGCAUGCGCCCGUGCCAAUCGAAUCCGACUGGGCGCCGAUCAUGGAGUUCACCUCCGCGGAUAUCUUUCAGCACUCGCCCUUCGGCGACAUACUGAACUCAUUAAGGCCUCUCUCCUGUCAGGAGAGUCCUGGCCGAACUAAGUUCAGCAGGAUUGGGAUGCGGAUGACGAAGAAAUUCGCCGCCCACCCACCACCCAUUUAGUAGCCACUGUCGACGAAUUGACCGACAUGCUCGACUUCGACUCCAAAGACAUCCACGGUAUGGACGACGAUGCAGGAGACGAACAGGAACCACUGCCCACAGGGCACUGGACGCGCACUUCAUCAUAUGAUGUAUACAUGGUGGACACACCCAGAGAAAACGACGACGAGGAACGGAAGGACGCAGCGAAGGGUUGUUCCCUCGAGAAGCAGUCAAAGCGGCGGCGUAAGCACCGCUCCAAAUCCCACCUCGGCAGAAACAACGAUCAUAGAGACCCAGCGAUAGAGCAGGGUGAACCAUUGUCCGACCACGUCAACACGGAGAAUCAAACCGAACAACACGACUCCAUCGAAGAUAACAGUCCGGACGACAUCGCACCAGAUAGGCACUUGGAGCAACAGAAUACCCAUCAAAGACUUGUCACCACUAUGAGGAGUCUGAAAAAGCAGAAGCAAAGGCUCAGGGCUGCACAAGACACACUCAGAAUCAGAUGGAGUGAAGUACUCAACACUACAGCGAAGUACGACGGUAAUCGCCACACCAACAGCUACACGAAGCAAAAGUUGCUACCUGAAUUCGAUGAGGAGGCCUUAGAUCCCCCGCAAUCAAAAAACAAAACGGCCAUCCAGCCGGAUAGACGACCUCGUGGCCAACAUAGAGCGGCAAACGACGCCGCACGUAAGCGAGUACGCGAUCCGCGUGAGGGCUCGCAUCAAAAGGACAACACAACCAGAUCCAUCUAUGGGCCAUGCAAGCGUGCUCCAGCAUGCAAUGCAACACAACAAACAUCCUAACACCACGGUACACCCAAAUACAGGGGUGCCGCACACCCCCUAUGUUUCACCGAUGAGGUGCUGGACCAUGAAUUUCCAAAGGGAUUCAAACCCGUAAACAUAGAGGCGUACGACAGAAUGACUGACCCUGGGGUCUCGAUUAAGGACUACAUCCUCCAUAUCCAUAUGGCUCGAGGAGACGAUCUCCACGCCAUCAAGUACUAACCCCUCAAGCUCAAAGGGCCAGCUCGGCACUGGCUUAAAAUCCUCCCCGAAAACUCCAUUGGAAGCUGGGAAGAGCUCGAAGACGCUUUUCGGGAAAAUUUUCAAGGGACCUAUGUCCGACCACCGGAUGCUGACGAUUUUGAGUCAUAUAACUCAACAGCCUGGAGAGUCAGCACGAAAGCUUUGGAAUAGGUUCCUCACUAAAAAGAACCAAAUAGUCGACUGCCCGGAUGCUGAAGCCUUAGCAGCUUUUAAACACAGCGUUCGAGACGAAUGGCUUGCCAGACACCUCGGCCAAGAAAAACCGAGAACAAUGGCAGCAUUAACAAGCCUCAUGACCCGCUUUUGCGCGGGCGAGGAUAGCAGGUUAGCCCGAUGCAGCACCAGUGACCCAAGUACAUCCGAAGUCAUGGACGAAAACGGGAAACCACGAUGCAGCAAAAACAAGCGCCCAAAUACAGAAGACAGCCCAAAGAGCAUGGCGGUAAACGCCGGAUUUAGAAGUUCUCGGCCAGGUCAACAAAAGCUGCCCUCCAAAGGCAACAGAGACGAACUGUCCAGCCUAAACAAGAUUCUGGAUAAAAUAUGUCAGAUCCACUAUCGGUGUUCUGGGAAUGGGGGUCCCCAGACUUGCCUGCCUGCGGCCUGCGGCGUGGCUCAAAGGGGGGCCCAGCACGGCCCGUCUUCACCAACACAAACCCAAGACCCUCGCGAGGGGCCAAGCCUCGCGGGGCGGACGACGCGGAGCUUCCUCAGACACGGCCUCAUCAGGCUGCCUCACGAUGGGGCGGAGAGAUCAAGGCGGGGUACCUCACGAGGUGCCCGUGAGGCAAGCCAUGACGAUUCUGGGUGCCAGGUGGGUGCCAGCCCGCGCAGCGUCCUCCUUCCCUCUUUGGUGCAAAGGGGGCAAGCGCAGCCGCGGAGUACCGAGGCAUCAGGCAAAGGUUGCCAUUUUGGUGCAAUGAGACCAAGACCAGGAGGACUACGAGAUGGAGGUCACCAUGGAGCCCAAGACGGCGUCAUCACCAGAGCUUUGCACAGGCGAAGACUACUUUUGUCAGGAUAGCUGAUACUUGCUGCCCCCCUUCAAAUUAGCCCGCCAUUGUUGGCUCCCUUCCCGCUCAAUAUUUGGGAAGAGGACCAGGGCCUCUAUAAAUAGGACUAGCCACCCCUAGGGUAGGGAGGAUCGAGAAUCAGCCAACCCAGAAACAAGCUGGGGUCGAAAUCAGGGUCGGUCAGUUGGAGGAAAGCAGAGAGAGAGAGAAAAAGGUGAUUGAAUUCCUCCAAGCAGUUCAUCGCCCUAGCCAAGAACAGACCCUCGCGAGGCUAUUCUUCCUUGUAUUGUUCAUCAUCAUCAGCCCAAGAGGCAAUCCACCACACCACACACUGGAGUAGGGUAUUACACCACAACGGUGGCCCGAACCAGUAUAAACCCUGUGUCCCUUGUGUUGUUCUUUCCUUAGUUUAGAUCCUAGCAUGGAGAAGGGGUGCAUGUAGGUAGGGGGCGAAAUCUCUGUGCGCACCCCAGUGUUCGAACCUCAAGGGUCUGCCGGAACCCGAAAUCCGACAUUUGGCAUGCCAGGUAGGGGUGCGCCGGAAUUCAUCUUCCACCGCUCCGUGCCCCGUCGCGUUGUCAUCACCAUGCGGGCGACCAAGAGGGCAACCCAGACCCAUGGGCGGCAUGGCCCGCCCGCGCAGAGCCGCUCGCCUCAGGCGACCCCGUGCCCCAGGCAGCUCGCGGUCCGCAGGGCGCUGCGGGACGCGAGCGACGCGGACAGGCUUCGACAGCUCUCACACCAUGGCAGGCGCGGUCGGCAGCAAGGGCCUCCAAUCACGCCGCGACCACGACACCGUACACCCGCUGGGAGCAAGCGAACUCGAGGGCCGCGCUCACGGUGGCCCGAGAGCUGCUGCAGUGCAGACUGCUGGAGGGCGGCCACGACGUGCUGCUGGAGCGGGUGGCAGAGCUCCUGGGCUUCGCCGCCUCGGGGGCUCACCCCUUCUGCACCCAGCUCCCAUCUCAAACCCAGGGCGGCCCGCGCGGGGGCCCCGCGCGCGCCCGCGGGCUCCAUGGCUACUCCAACACCAGCGAGGCUGUCAGCACCGGACCGGCGGCGGCGCAGCCCCCGCUCCUGGUCCGCAAAGAAGAAGGGCUCGACGCACCCCGCGGCCGUAGUGGACAGCCGCGCUGCCACCCCACGGUAGGCGCGUCAGGCAGGACCGCGUGACGCGUAGAGCACUACGGCGUGGCCUUCGGGGUGGCGGCGCCAGAGGAAUACGUGCCCCUCAUGAUGGACCAAGGACACUCACACGAGGGCGAACCAGGCUCGCUCCUCAGCCCAAGCCGGGGGGACGAGGCGCCAGAAGCUGAGCCCUUCCAGGAGUCUCGGGACGGUCCCACUGGGCACGCUGGAAGCAAUGAUUAUCGGGUCCCGCUAAUUCUUUAGUAGGCAUACGCUAACCAUGGAUCGCAGGAGGUCCAGGUUGCCACAGCGGGCAGCUGCCCCGCUCCCACAGCCUCCUACCCCUCGGGAGGAGGGCGCAGGGGGCUGCAGGAGAGGGGCAGGGAUUCGACAUCACCACCGCGGCGUUCGAAGCAAGGUGGUCUUAGGAGGUAGGCCCUCUGCUGGGGAGGUGCCCCAGGGCCUGCCCCCGGCGGAGGACCCGUGGUCGUUGGGGGAACCGCUGGCGACUGCUCUACCCCAUCGGUGGCGUCCUGGUUUCUGGUCGUCGUUGAUGGCACUAGAGUGUGGCGCAAGGCGGGGCCCUCAUCUGGCGAUAUGAAGCAAGGCCAGUACCUGUGAAGAAGGCCCAGUGCCUGUGGAGCUCGCCGCCCCGUGACACUCUCACGUAAUAAUGAGUGGGGUUGUACAUGCCCCGAAGUCUCAGGGGUGCCGGCCUCAGGCCCUGGGGCUACCUCCCACGCCCA